CUCGAUAACAACUUAUUAGAAGGAAGCAUACCUCAAUCUCUGAAGAACAUAAAAGGUCUUGCAUUACUGAACCUAACAAUGAAUAAGCUAUCUGGUAGUAUUCCUGAUGCCCUUGCUAGCAUUGGCCACCUGCAACAACUGUAUCUUGCACACAACAACUUGUCAGGUUCCAUCCCCAAAGUUCUACAGAAUUUGACAUUGUUGGCAAAACUGGAUUUGUCCUUCAAUGAUCUGCAAGGCGAAGUGCCAAAAGGGGGUCCUUUUGCAAAUGCAACUCACUUGUCAAUUGAUGGAAAUGAUGAGCUUUGUGGCGGAAACCCUCAACUUCAUUUAGCUCCGUGCUCCACAGCAGCUGCGGGGAAGAACAGAAGGCGAAUGUCAAGAUCACUUAUGGUCACCGUAGCGUCAAUCUGCGCACUUCUAUUCUUAGGUUUAGUAGUUUGUCUUAUCCAUUUGAUCCACAAGAGGCUCAGACAAGGAAAGGAAAAUCAACUCAUUCCCACAGCAAUUGAUGAACAGCACGAAAGGGUUUCAUAUCAAGCAUUAGCAAAUGGGACUGACCAUUUUUCGCAGGUUAAUCUGCUCGGACAAGGAAGCUAUGGUGCAGUUUAUAAGUGCACUUUACAAGACAAGGGAAUUACCGCAGCUGUAAAGGUAUUCAACGUGUGGCAAUCUGGGUCUACUAGAAGUUUUGUGGCUGAAUGUGAGGCACUGCGAAGGGUGCGCCACCGAUGUCUCAUAAAGAUCAUCACCUGUUGCUUAAGCAUUGAUCACCAAGGCCAAGAAUUCAAGGCACUGGUUUUUGAGUUCAUGCCCAAUGGUAACCUAAAUGGUUGGCUGCAUCCAGCAUCCAAAAUACAGAGUCUGAGCAAUACGCUCAGCUUAGCUCAGAGACUGGACAUUGCGGUAGAUAUCAUGGAUGCUUUGGAUUAUCUUCACAAUCAGUGUCAACCGCCUAUUAUCCAUUGUGAUCUCAAACCAAGUAACAUCCUCCUUGCCGAAAGUAUGAGUGCUCGGGUUGGAGAUUUCGGCAUAUCAAAAAUCCUUCCUGAUGACACUAGCAAAACUAUGCUGAAUUCGGUUAGCUUCACUGGACUAAGAGGUUCCAUUGGAUACGUCGCUCCAGGUAACAGAAACUAACACUGAUAUUGCUAUGUUCAGUUUUUAACUUCCAUUUUGCCAAGUCCAGUUAUCUCGGCAUGAAUCGUUCGUAAGUAGCUUGCCAUGAAUCCACUGACCAAAUAGUUUCUGAAAUCUGAAUUGACUGCAGAGUACGGCGAGGGUCGCGCCGUCUCAACUCUUGGAGAUGUUUACAGCCUCGGCAUACUGUUGCUUGAGAUGUUCACCGGGAUGAGCCCUACUGACGACAUGUUCAAAGGCUCCUUGGACCUUCAUAAGUUCGCCGAGGCCGCUCUCCCCGACAGAGCCUUGAAGGUAGCCGACCCGGCAAUCUGGCUUCAUGAAGAAGCAAAGGGGGAAGACCCGGCCACGGUGAGAAGCAGAAGCGAGAGGUGCUUGGCUUCAGUGGUCGGGCUUGGCGUGUCCUGCUCAAAGCAGCUGCCAAGGGAGCGGACGGCGAUGCGGGAUGCUGCCGCUGAGAUGCGUGCGAUCAGAGAUGCCUUCCUGGUUCAAUGUGCAACAGAGACUUGGCCUGCAGUCGGCACCAGCGGCCUUGGAAGCACAGACACUUGAAUGGUGGACGGAGCUACGGUCUCUUGACGCACCAAGGAGCCACCGGACUAGCUGCUCUGCAACUAACAGGGUGGAGAAAGCGCCCCUUAAUGAAAAGAAAAACAGCCGGUGCAAGGCUUUAUACAAAGAAUGUGACAGCCACUGCGUGUAUCCGAGAGCCUUAUCUAAUCUACCGAGGAUUGUUAUGUAUGGAUGCGUAUAGAUUAUGCACGGACUCCUCCGUCCCAAAAUAAACGCACAUCUUGCUUCUUGAGGAGUCAAACUUCUAAGUUUGACUAAAAUUUAUAAAAAAAAUGUACUACUAUUUAUAAUGUAUAAUAAAUAUCAUUAGAUUGAGCAUUGGGUAUACUUUCUUAAUACAUUUAUUUGAAGAUGUAAAUGUUGAUACUAUUUUUUAUAUUCUUAGUCAAAUUUAAAAAUAUUUGACUCAUCGAGAAGCGAGAUGUGUGUUUAUUUUGGGACGAAAGGAGUACCCGUCACCGGGAUUAGUCAUGAUAUAAGAUUAGUCACGAUAUAAGUAGGGAUUAGCAAGCACCAAAACCCCAUUCACUGCCCAUCGAUCGCUCAAAUAAAAGAAACCAUUGCAUAUGGUGGCGAUGCGCUCGCGGGCCUUUCUCCAACCUUUCUGCUCUCGCGGGUCUUGAACUUGCAUGGAACAGUUUUAGUAAAGCUGCCUCCAACUUUAGGGAGAUUGCCAAGGUUCAUUUACCUGUCCUUAAGUGGCAAUAAGUUAGGAUCGAAUGAUAAGGACGGAUUGGAAUUCAUCACCAUGCUGGCAAACUUCAGCCAGCUUCAUCAACUGGCUUUUGACAAUAAUUCAUUCAUCGGCGAACUUCCUAGCUCAAUUGCAAAUCUAUCGACAACACACCAAUUACUCUAUAUACGAUACAAUUGGAUUUCGGGAUUUAUUCCAUCCAGCAUAGGUAAUUUGCUUGGUCUAGAACUGCUUACGUUGGCAAAUACUUUCAUAUCCGGAAUGAUUGUAGAUAGCAUUGGUCGCCUAGAAGACAUGUCCGUGUUAGGCAUUUACUACGCUAGCUUGUCAGGUAUCAUACCUUCAUCACAAGGAAAGCUUACACAGUUGAAAACUCUCUAUGCGUACGAUAGCAACUUGGAGGGUUCAUUUCCAGCAAGCUGGGGGAACUUAAAGAAUCUUUUUGUUCUUAAUCUCUCAACGAAAGUGCGUAACCCGCUAAAGUUUCAUGUCAAAGCAGAGCAUAAAUCUCUCUCAAAACUGCAAAACUAUCAUAAAGCAGAUCAGUCUGAGGGCUAGCCUAUGCCCUAUCAACGCCUCCCUUCUUGCCCUUUUGGUAAGAUUACCCCAAACUAGAGUCUAUAAUUAAUUAGCUAAGACUAGAGCCACGUAGUUCUUGUGGUUGUACUGUUUUCCUGAGUGGUCGCUCCAUGUUCCAAUUAAGCAUGAUGAUCUUGUAUUAAUAAAAGGUAUAUCAUAAAUAAAACAAGUUUAAUCAUUGAGUUCAUUAAAACCAUCACAAUCCAAGGUAUUGCAACUAAGCAUAUCUACCUUAAAAAAAGGUAAAACCCAGGUUGACAAGGAAUGAUCAUAAAAACUAGGUAAACCUUAAUAGGACCUAUCAAUAUUAAAUGUAGAGCAAUGCAAAAGUGAUUAAAUAUAGUUUUUGGGAUAAAAGUAUAAGGACACACGUGCCUUUCUCCAAAGAAUAGCUGCUCAGAUUAUCUUCCGCUCUUGUUCCUCAAAGCUCUCGAACAAUGUUCCUUCUACUUGCAUCAAUCAUCGGCACAAGCAUACCAAGCAAACAACAAUCACAACUAAGAACAAUACAUCAAUCAUUGGAAAGCUUUAAAAGAGCGUACUAAAGGAUAAGGCUUGAAUCUAAGGUCACGCGAAUGCAAGAAACGCUGGGAACAAAACUAUGGUUGAAAAGACAAAGUUAUCGAGAGAUUUGAAUUAUAAAAGAAAGAGAAAAGCAUAUGUGCUUCAUAUAUUUUAAUAAAACAAUGUAAAGAUAUUUUAGAGAAACAUCCUUAGCAUGUUAUAGUUAUGUAUGAAAAGACAAUGUAGAACUUAGUCAAAUUUUAUUAUAAACAUUCAAGUACAAUUUAUGCAAAUUAAAAAUUUAAUUUGAAAAUAAAGUAUAUGUAAACAUCUAAGCGCAUAGCUUUAUGAUUUAGGUUGAACUAACCAAAUAUAAUUAAAAACACAUUUAUAUUUAUAUUAAAUCAAAUUAACAUAUAAUUAUGAAAACUCGAGAUAUAAAUUAUGUAGCUUUUAUUUAGAAAACAAAUUGAAUAAACAUUUUAAUUAAAGAAGACAUGUUUAACAUGCAUUAAUUAGAUUAAUAUUAAAUUUAUUUUAAAAACAUGCAUGAUGGAAAGAUCGGCACUAACGUGUAAUUUGUGAUUCAGGUUGAACUAACCAAAUAUAAUUCAAAAACACAUUUAUAUUUAUAUUAGUCAAAUUAACAUAUAAUUAUGAAAACCCAAGAUGUAACUUAUGUAGCUUUUAUUUAGAAAACAAAUUGAAUAAACAUUAAUCAAUUUAAGUUUAAUUAUGAACCACCGUGGUGCAUCUCUAAUUCGCUUUUAAUUGAAAGAGUUAUUUAAAUAAGCAUUAAUAACUAAAUUAACAUUUAUUAUGAAAAGCGGUUAUAACACUAAGUAGCUUUUAAUUAAGGAAGACAUGUUUAACAUGCAUUAAUUAGAUUAAUAUUAAAUUUAUUUUAAAACAUGCAUGAUGGAAAGAUCACUACUAACAUGUCCUAAGAAUGGAUAUAAACGGAGCUGUAAUGAGGAGUCCAUGGGUUAAACAAGGUUGCAGGGCCUAAUCGCGAUUAACGGAAGGUUAUUGGGGCUAGCAAGGAAGAUUUGCAAGACACUGGAAUAGAGCUCACCAUUAGGUCAAAGCAUAGGGUUAGAUAUGUUAAAGUGCUCAGGUUAGACUUGGUUGCACGGAUCCAAUCUAAUCAGGGACAUGGAUGAAAAAAAACAAGACACAAGGAAAAACUAACUAUUUGUAGAGCUUUAUAGGGGCCUAUGCGCAAAAGCACCACAGCUCAGCAUCCAUGGUGGACGGGCUCCUGGAUGGCAAAACCCUCGUGUCAGAUUUAUAAGCCUGGUAGUCCACCAAGGGAUUCCCCAAGUGGUUGAUUUGUAGAUGAGGGUGAUUGUGAAACCAAGAACUCGAAGGUGGUCGCGAGAACACGAAGGGACACUUAGACAAGUUCGGACCUUCGGAGAGUAAUACCCUACGUCCUAUAUGCUGGUUUGUAUUGCUUGAGAUUGAUCUAAUUGUUGCGAUACCCUCGGGGGUGCCCUUGGCCGCCUUAUAUAGGCUGACGAUCAAGAGUUAAAAGUCGGUUUGAAUCUAAUCUACUCGGUAGUUACAUGGAAAGUAAUCUGAGUUGGACUACAAUAUGUGUUCCAUGAUAUCUGGGCAGAUUUGAACUAUCUUAUUGCCUUGACUUGCACUCCAAGUAACUUUAUGUCCUCGGCCCGCACGCUCUGAUCGGGCAGGCCCUACUUGUUAGUCCGACCAGUAUCCUGGCCGGUCAGGGCCCAUGGGGUACCCAUAUCCCUUAAGGCCCCAAGCAUUGUGUAGGCAAACAGGAACUUGAUGUCAUCAAAGUGAAACUUGGAAUGAAAUCGGGUGAAGCUGACGAAGAGCCAACGCGUAGAGCGAGGAUGAGUGCCGAGUUGAUGGAUGCUGGCAUCCAGCAGGUCGAAGCGAAGGUUACGGAGGGCGUCGCAAGACGCACUCUGUAGGAGUAGCCCCGGAGCAUUGAAACAAUUAAGAUAAUCAAUACAAUGGUCAAAGAGGAAAAAAUUGUCCCCUGAAGUAGAUCCUUGUGCCCGAACACAAGGAUGGACGCAGCCACGGAGGCCCGCCAACCAGAAGUAGGCACCUAGACUCAAGGACGAGGACUGGUGGGACUGUGGAGCCAUGCCGACCUGAAAUAGGCAUCUAACCCCUGAGGACGAGGACUAGCAGAGCCGCAGAGGCAUGCUAACCUGAAAUAGGUGCCUAGCCCCCGAGGAUGAGGACUGGCGGAGCCAUGAAGGCACGCCGACUUGAAAUAGGUGCCAAGCCCCCAAGGACGAGGACCAGCAGAGCCACGAAGGCACUCUGACCAGAAUUAGGCGUCCAGCCCCCGGGCAUGAGUGCGAGGAUUGGCGGAAGCACAUCGAGUUGCCUCCCUUCCCGGGCUCAGGCAGAGAGGUUGGUCGGGUGACGAGAGGCACACCAAGUCAUCAAUGGUGCCCAGCCGCCGAGCCUAGGAGCCGGACGAGUUGCAAAAGCAUGGCAAGUCACCUCCCGCCCCGAGCCAGAGAGGUCGGCUGGGCGACGGGAGGCACGCCGAGUCAUCUACGGUGCCCAGCCCCCGAGCCUUGGAGCCGGCUGAGCCACAGAAGCACGCCAAGCCGCCUCCCGCCCUGAGCUAGAGAGGUCGUUUGGGUGACAAGAUGCACGCCGAGUCGUCUGCGGCGCCUAGCCCUCGAGCUUGGGAGCCAGACGAGCCACAGAAGCAUGCCAAGUCGCCUCCUGUCCCGUGCUAGAGAGGUCAGCCGGGUGAUGGGAGGCACGUCGAGUAGUUUUUGAGCUAUAAAAGAACAAUACAAUCAUUAUGUAGCAUAAUGUAGAUCAUUUAAUCAUUGAACAACUCGGAAGUUUAAUUCGCUGUAGAAGUAAACUCUUGCGCAUCCUGCUCUUAUAGGCCAAGUAAUUUCCCUAGGUAGUUAUCUUGUUACGUUUAAGCACCUAGCCCUACUGACCACUGUUCACGGAGAGGAUGGUUUAUCUUAGGCUAUAGUGCUGGGGCUGACCCGAUGCUCGCAUAUAGGAACGCGCAGGAUGAGUCAAGGUUUCACGGAUUAAGGCGUGUGCUACCCGAGUACUUUAGCAACCGUUAACAGGGAUGGACAAGUCGCAAAGCAACCGGAACUGUGCGGAAAAGCACCAGCAUGAGUUGGGCACCCAUGGGGUGUAGCCCCCGGCCGCCCGUGUAGUGGACGGAACAAAAGUCACGACAACAUGGAGGAGCCGAGGCUUAUGUAGGUAUAUGGAAGCUGUAAAAUAUUUUAUUGUAAAUAAUACUUAGCUUGAUUCGUGGUCGAGUCAAAGAACCCGCGUGUCAUCUUCGCGUUUAGUCUUAGAAGCCCCUGAGCGUGGUCGGCGGACAGUUGUUGGUGAAGCAAACUAGUCGGGCUCCAUGCCCAACUAAUUCGUGUCGAGUUCGAGUUGUUGGAGUUGUCAGCGGCAGGUUUGUGGUUGCGAUUGUGGUAUGCUGUUGCCAAGUCGAUGUGGCCAUCGGGUCGUGUCCGGCUGGCCGCUACGCUCACAGUACAGCAUGUCUGGGUUGUGCUGCCAAACCAAGGGUGCAUGUACAUCUUUUCGAACCUUGCAAGGAAGCCCUCACGUAUUAAGGAAAUCUAUACCUAAUAUUAAAGCUCCCGCAGCGUGCGCCUAUGCCACGUGUGGUGUGGACGGGUGUGCCGGCUGCGGCUGCGAGCUCCUCACUGCGGCAGGGACCAGGUCGAGCAGCGACAGUGAUGACGAAGGGGAGUAGUCCGCGUCUGCGUGCCAUGCCACCAUCGCCGGGCAAGGUGUGGCAGCGGCGGAGGGGGAGAGUGAGUACAUCGGCGUGCAGCGGCGGCCGUGGGGUAGGUGGGCGGCGGAGAUCCGCGACCCGCACUACGCCGUGCGCAAGUGGCUCGGCACCUUUGACACAGCUAAGGAUGCCACGCGCACCUACAACAUCACCGAUGUCGAGUUUUGAGGCCACUGCACCAAGAUCAACUUCCCCGACAACACGGCCCCCGCGCCCGCACCUUCCUGGGUGCCAAACUCGACAUACCACCACCACGACCACUUGCCGCUGCCGCUGCCCGAGAGCCUACACGAGACCUGCGGGGCGAACGCAUCCUCGUCGAUGGAUGUGGCUCUUGCGGUAGCGGCGUCGGCCGAGCAGCACGGCACGAGGCCGGUGCCGAAGGAGCAGGACAUCUGGGACAGGCUGAACGAGUUCAUGAUGAUGGAUGACGGUAGCUUUUGGUCACCCAUGCUAUGAUCAUCACAUUCUCCUCCAUUCUCCUCUUGUUUUCACUUUCGUUGCUUAGCGGAUAAUGGUGGUCAGCUGGCCUCUGGUCUGUCGUCAAUCGCCAGCCAUCCAUCGCUUUUAUAUGGUUUUGCACUAGCUUUUGGGCUUUGACCACACCCUCCACACCCAUACGAAAUGACUAGGUAGAGUGAUGUUGAUAUACUGCUUGCCGCGCGCUAGGGCGAGCAGCUACUCACUCGGGCUAGAUGCCCUACCCGCCACCUGGACCUAAGAGGUGAAGGAGAGAGGAGGGAGGGGGAAGGAAACAAGGAGCCGAGUGCCUCUUUGCAGUCAACCAAGUAGAGCCAUAUGCCAGCGAAGGCAUGGCGCCAGCGAGGGGGGGGGGCGCAGCGGCAGUCGGUAGGCAACACAAACAGGGGGCGGAGGUCGGGACCUCACAUCCCCCUCUCAAUGAUGUCCAUCCCCUUCAUAUCCAGAACUAAAGCCUCCACAUCUAGCAAUUGGGGGCUCGAUUUUGCACUUGAUUGGAACGAUUUGGAGUGGAUUAUAGAAGGGAAGUGGAUGGAAACGAGAAGAAGAGGAAAACACACUCCUGCUCAUGGCGGCCAGAGGCGCGGUGGCCUAGGUCUCGAAGCAGGAAUGAGGCUAGGCACGGGAAGGACGAGCGUUUGCCUAGGCGACGGUGAGGAUGGCAAGAUGCGUAGCGCCUGGAUGAUGGCGAAGAUAGGGCAUGAUGCGGGUGGCGCCGACGGACGAAGUGGCAUCGACUAGCUAGAUGACGAUGAGUACGGGGGAAAUCGAAUGAAUGGAUAGAGCGGAGGUUGAGCGGUGAUUUUUUUUUAUUUCCAUGUGUGGGUCCCAUGUAAUAAACAGAUGGCAUCAAACCACCCACAAAUAUCUUCUACUACUGUACUGGGAUAACGCAUCAACAUAUGGUGAAGCGAAAUCAACAUAUUAGGAACAAGCAAAUAAUAAUGUGAGAGUAAGUAAGGACUUGUAGCAACGUACAUGUAUUUCUGCUAGUAAGAAAAAAAAUUGUUAGCUGCCGUAGUAAGCACCAAGCAACGUAGGAGAUCUACUGGAUGGAAUAGAUUAAAUAAUAAAGGGAAGGGAGAAUUGUUCCUUUUUUUUGGCAGAUCCGACGUGUCUGCAUGCAACAAGUUGAGGUCGACGUGUUGUGCUAAAUCAACCGGAUCAGACUGGGGCCGGAUCAGGCGAGCUUGGCUGUGGCCGGGAUGAGGCCAAUAAGGGCGUCGCCCUUGACCUUGGCCUCCUGUGCCUCGCGGAUCUUCUACAUCUGGAGCAUCUGCUCCAUGAUGAGCUCGUAGUGGCACUUCUUGUAGGCGUGGCGCUCGGGCUCGCACUUCCAGCGGAGGUAGAACUCGGAGGUGCACGCACUGGUCGUGGUAGGCGAGCGGCACCAAGGCCUCCGCCAUCUCCACCUGCGUGAUGAUCUGGGGCUUCGUGGAGUCGAACUGAAUGCCGGCCAUUGCCGCCGCCUCCAUCUGUCACUUUCUUGCCCUCUCUCUUGCCGGCGAGGUCGUUCCGUUGAUAGAUGGGUGCUGCGGGUUUGGUGCGGCGUGGGUGGGUGGUGUGCAGCAAGGACGUGAGGAACCCUCUCGGAGAGAGAGAUUGCUUACCUACUAGGUAAACGGUGUGAUGAUCCUUUGAUAUAGACCUUGCUCCGCCGGAGUAAAUUCGACAGAUGCCAAGCUGGCGGCGGGCAUUGAGUCGAAGUCCACCGGCAUGCUCCUGAAGUGGAGCUGGAUCGGAUUGGCGAGGAAGUCCUUCAUGCUCUUGGGGAAAACAAUGUCGGGGCGGGAUGCCAUCGAGCUCGCUAGGGAGGAUCUUACAAUCAUCCCUACCUAGCGCGCCAACUGUUGGAUUUAUAAGCCCGGUAGUCCACCAGGGGGUUACCCAAGUAGUUGAUUUGUAGGUGAGGGCAAUUGCAAAAUCAAGAACUCGAAGGUGAUCGCGAAAACACGAAGGGACACGAAGGUUUUAGAUAGGUUCGGGCCUCCGGAGAGUAAUACCCUAUGUCCUGUAUGCUGAUUUGUAUUGCUUGAGAUUGAUAUGAUUGUUGGGAUACCCUCGGGGGUGCCCUUGGCCGCUUUAUAUAGGCUGACGACCAAGAGUUACAAGUCGGUUUGAAUCUAAUCUACUCGGUAGUUACAUGGAAAGUAAUAUGAGUCAGACUACAAUACGCGUUCCAUGAUAUCCAGGCAGAUUUGAAUUGUCUUGUUGCUUUGACGUGCACUCCAAGUAACUUCAUGUCCUCGACCCGCACGCCUUGGUCGGGUCGGCCCUACUUGUCAGGUCUGACCAGUAUCUUGAGGUACCCAUAUCUCUCACCUUGGUGCUCCGGCGAUUAGGGUCAGUGGCGAGGAUGGGGAUUGGAAGAGGAGAUCGAGGGGACUUUAUGGAGAUGCUCACCGGCGACGAGGCGGACGGAUUCUGGCCAGUAUUUGGCUGGCGGUGGAAGAACACGACAGCUGGCUCAAGUCUUCGUGAGUGAUGGUACUCCGGCGGUGGAGCGACGACGACGACUGGUGGCAGAGCUGCUCCUCGAUGUCACGGAGCUCCCUAAGGCUCUAGCUUGCUCCGAUGGUCGACGAGCACAGCGAAUCGGCCAGAGAAGGACGGCAGUGGCUCCUAGCUCUGGCGGAUGUGGGGGAUGGCAGUGCUCGUGCAAGCUAGGAAGAGUGGCGGUGUGAGGCAGGGCAAUAGCAGGGGCACAAUCUCGACUUUUAUAUGUGCGUGGGUCCGCGCCUGCCUUGGCACGCAUGCCGAGGUUCGGCGGUGGCGAUGCCCAAGUGCAGCUACGCUUGGCCUCGACCCGCUGUUGGUCGAUGGGCCUAGCGGGCCUAGCCGAGCCAUCAACUGGGCCGGGUCAGUGCAGGUUAGUUGGAGAGGGUCGGGCCCCAAAGACUUGGCCCCAUCGAUUAGGAUUUUUCUUUUUUUCAGAAAUGAUUUCUCGUGAAAGAAAAAUCCAGAAAAAUUCUAGAUAAUUAAUUUAAACAAUGAAAAAACUCUAAAAAUCCAAAAAUUUCAGGAAAAAUCAUCUCUAGUUUGGGACAUGAGGAGUCCAAAUAAAAUACUUGGACCUCGUGAAAAGGAUUCUAGAACCUUCCAAAAAUUGGAUUUAGCUUUAGAAAAAAAUGAGAAUAAAUCUUAGAAAAAUCUGAAAAUUCUCAUAAGAACCUAAUCAGCAUCUAAACGCAUUCCAAAACCUUUGCACUUAUGAAAUACCAAGAUGCAUUGGUGUGAAUGCAACCCAUACACAAUCAUUAUAUUUAAUUCAGAAAAACACUCAAUUGUUUUCCUAUACUAAAUUUCCUCUUAAGAAAAUAAAUGUUGGAAAAAUUUUAAAAUUGUGAAAAAAUUAUUGUUUAAUUAUUCUUUUUAAUCAAAUCCUGAAAUUUCAAAAAUUUUAAGGUGAGGCAGAUACCCUCAGGUUUACAGAAUUUGACAUCCAUGUGCAAAUUGGAUCUAUCCUUCCAUGAUCUACAAGGUGAAGUGCCAAAAGUUUUUUUUUGGCAAAUGCAACUUACAUGUCGAUUUAUGGAAAUGAUCAGCUUUGUGGUGGAAAUACCUCAACUUCAUUUAACUCCAUGCUCCAUGUCCAGUGCAAAAAAGAAAAAAAAGGAAAUUUGUCGAAAACCCUUGUGAUCACCCUAACAUCAAUCGGUGCAGUUGUAUUCUCAGUUUCAGUACUUACUGUAAUUGUGUUGAUCUGUAAGAAGCUUAGGAAAAGGCACGAAAGUCAACUCAUAUCCACAACUGAGGAACGGUAUGAAAGAGUUUCUUAUCAUGCUUUGUCAAAUGGGACCAAUGGAUUUUCAGAGGACAAUUUACUUGGACAAGGAAGCUAUGGCAUGGUUUAUAAAUGUACUUUACAUGACCAGGGCACUACAGUAGGCUACUGUAAAGGUGUUUAACACACAACAAUCUGGGACUUCUAGAAGUUUUGUCGCUGAAUGCGAGGCACUCAGAAGGGUGCGUCCUCGUUGUCUCGUAAAGAUCAUCACUUGUUGCUCAAGCAUCAAUCACCAGGGUCAAGAGUUCAAGGCACUAGUUUUUGAGCUCAUGCCAAAUGGUAGCCUAAAUGGUUGGCUUCACCCAGAGUCUGACACACUUACCCAGACAAAUACCCUUAGCCUUGAACAAAGGCUACACAUUGCUGUCGAUAUCCUGGAUGCUUUGGACUAUCUUCAUAAUCACUGUCAGCCAUCAAUCAUUCAUUGCGAUCUCAAGCCAAGCAACAUCUUUCUUGCGGAGGACGUGAGUGAGUGCCCGAGUUGGAGGUUUUGGCAUACGAAGAAUCCUUCCAGAAAGUGCUAGUAAAACCCUGCAAAAUUCGAAUAGCACAACUGGAAUAAGAGGCACCAUUGGUUAUGUUGCACCAGGUAAUGAAAGAGAUAUUUUUGGUAUUUGUAAAAUGUUCUUAGUUCUUACGUAUACAUGACCUGCUGACCUUUGGAUUUUUUCCCCAAUCAGAGUACGGUGAAGGUUCUUCUGUCUCAACUCAAGGUGAUGUUUAUAGCCUCGGCAUAUUGCUGCUUGAGAUGUUUACUGGAAGGAACCCAACAGAUGAGAUAUUCAAUGAUUCUUUGGAUUUGCACAAGUUUUCAGAGAAUGCUCUUCCAGAGAGAAUAUGGGAUAUAGUUGAUCCGACAAUACGGAUGCACACAGAUGCCUAUAACAGCACUAUAAGAAGUGGAAUUAAGAAUUGCUUGGUUUAUGUUGUUUCUCUUGGAAUAUCAUGCUCGGAGAAACAACCUAGGGAGCGGAUCCCGAUUCUGGAUGCAGCCAUUGAGAUGCACGCUAUUAGAGAUUCGUAUCUCAAGUUUGCCAGAUCUCUUUUGGUGGAGCAUGGAGUAGUAGCAACAACUCACAGUGAUUUUCCACAACAGUGAAUACAUAGGACUGAAAAUGCGCAAGAUGUCUGCAGAUGAUCAGUUUACCUGAAAUAACUGAAGAUGUAUGAAGCUUCAGCUUUAUAAUUUGUCCAUGCAUUUGUUUGCAUCAGAUAUAUGGAAGUAUAAAAUAAGUUUAGAAAAUGUUUCAAAAUAGAUUAGAUCCAGAGGUUUUAGUUGUCGUUUGUAUGACACAUUUUUGUAGAGAAUUCAGUAAUAUGUAUGAUUCAUAAUACAAUCAAUGCUCUGCAAAUUUCAGAUAGCACAAUUGGAAUAAAAAGCUCAUUCCUUGAUUAUGUUUCUCUAGGUAACUCAACUUAUUGUGAUGUUCACUGUAGAUUUCUCCAUGGUCCAAACGACCUUUGUGAUCAGUUAUGUUUAUGCAUUUUGUAGAAUUGUAAAGUCUUUCCCUAACCUGCUGACAUAUUAGCCGGAGCAUAGCACUUUGCCGUUCUGUACCACUCGCCUCUAGGAGGCGCUUGCCGCUUGGUGGCUGCCGUGGCGACCGACGGCAUCCGUACCUGCUCUGUCGGAGAUGGGUGGAGCUGCUCUGCUCUGCCGGUACGAGCUCACUCGCGCCGUGAAUGGCGCGCGCCUCUAAGGUCUCAUCAGCUGCAGGUGCAGAUGGGUGGAGAGCUUAGCGGCGCUAGGUCUUCAGAAGAUGGGGCUUUGCAGCUCUGAAUGGUGAGGCGGGCAGGGACGACGGAGCUGGACGCGUGGGGAGGAGACGAUGGGCAUUUCUGAUAAUAGUUGGAUCGCGAUCCAAAUUAGGGGGCUAUUUACAAAUAAUAGGGGGUAUUCCGUAAAUAUUCGGAUCGCGAUCAUUAAUCGCGAUCCAAAUGAGGGGUUAAUUGAAAUUAUGAUGGGGUGUCUUUUGAAAUUCCGGAUCGCGAUCCCAUCCUCCGCCGCGGCUCGCCGGAGCGCCGCCAGACGCCGGCCAUCCCUUGGGGUACCUCUUCUUCCUUCCGCUUGUCGGAGCCCUAAGACGUGGUCGGUGUUUGAUCUGACAAGGAACCUUGAAGUCCGGACUAACUGAAGAAGACAGACAUGAUGCUGACCUGGAAGACGACGGCCUCGCCAUGGCUGGAUGCGGCGCGGUGGAAGGACAGUGUGGUGGAGGGCGUGGUCCACCACAUUCCGUCGACGGGCGGCGCACUUGCUGUCGCCUGUCGGCUACUUCCAGGCCGUAGCUGAGCUUCAGAGUUCAGACAGGGUGCUUGUGCUUGCAACAAGUUCAGAACGAUGUCAUUAAUUUGAUGCAGAGGAUGGAGCAAACCGGUUGCAAAUUGGAUUCUGAUACAUAUAACUUAAUAUUGAACCUUUAUGUCGAUUGGAAAUAUGAGAAGGGGUGCACCAAAUAUGGGAUGAGAUGGAGAGGAGUGGAUCAGGCCCAGAUCAACGAUCAUUUACUAUUAUGGUUCAUGGUCUUCAUUCCCAAGGAAAGCUUGAUGAGGCUCAACAAUGAAGUCAAGAGGGUUGAUCCCUGAACCAAGGACCAAGAUACUGGUGAAAGCUAUACAUAUGAAGAAAGAUGGGGCUGUCACAGAAGAUCAGUCUGCAAAUAUGACAGGGAAGAAUCUAAAACUGGAUCCACGAUCUAGACUAUUCCAUGUUCAUAAAUAGUUUGCUGUCAGAUCUUACUUCUAUAACCUGAACAGAGGAUUGCUGGGCACGUAUUAUGUGUCAAAAGAAUAUCUUCUACCAGUGUCCAGAUCACAAUGGCCACACCUUGGGCUACAAUAAAUCAUCAGCAAAGUGUAUUGGCAUUAUGUAUCCCAGAAAGUUUUGCUCAGACUUUCAAUGCCAGGGUAUGCUUUUUAUGUCUGAUACGGAUCAAUUGCCAGUACUGUAUUACACCGCUCGUAUUAUGAAGGUUAUGUGAAAUAUGACAGAUGUUUGUUUAUUCAUCUGUUAUGCAUGGCUGUGUCUACUGUCUAGUUCUUGGCUUGUUGCCAACAUAUGCAGCAGCAGGUAGCUUCAGCCGCUCAGAAGCCCAAAUGAAGGAUGGCCCAGGCAGAAUAGCUAUGUCUAGACCCAGAAAGCUUAGGACAUGUCUUGCCAGCCUGCAGUUUUGUACUCGUAGCACCAACCAUCUCCGGGUUCUGGCCGGUUAUAUACAUGAUCUGGAAUGGGCAUCCGCUGAUCGAUUGAAACCUUGAGUUGCUUCCGUGUGUCUUUUGCCAUCUAUAUAUUAUGGUUAGUCAACGGCAUGCAGUACACCCAUGCAUAUGAUUGCAGUAGGAUGACAUGGCGCGACCAGAACCCUUCUUUUGCCAGUUUUAGAUUCUUAUACACGGCCAACUGACGCAGCAGGGAGUGGCAUGCUAAGCAGUUCAGCGUAGGUGGUGUGUUCUUAACUCUGAUAUGGCUUAUGGAAGAACACUGUCACGGUGUCACUGUCCAACCUCUUACUAGGGACAGCAAUGGCCCUGUCCACUGUUUCGUGGCUGGUAUUAUUACCCCUAUGCAGUGAAUCUGACAUGUGGAUCUAUGUGUAUAUUAUGUCGUCAAAAGAACAUUAUUUGAACUCUAUUUGUGGCGCCACCUUUGAUUCUAUUAAUGUGUCAUGGUCAAUUGAUGUCAAACUCUAUUAUCUUCAAGUCUUAUUGUAUUGAUAAAAUCACGAUGCUGCUACUGCCAUUUUGAUGUUUAUAAAAGGGUAUUGAGAACCUGGUGGGUAUCCAUUCGAUGCGCAGGGGUGGGGGUGGGGAAAAAUGAGUGUAAAGGAUAGGGAUACAGUAUUUAGAAAGAUGGGGCUGCCACAGAAGAUAGUCUCCAAGUAUGGCAGGGAAGAAUCUAAAAACUGAUUCCUUGAUCAAGACUGUCCCAUAUUCAUAAAUAGUUCACUGACAGAUCUUGCUUGCAUAUUCUGAACAGCUGAUGCUGGGCACAUAGGAGGUUAACCGGUCAGCGGAUCGAAGGAAAAAAAAAUCUUGCCUGUCAGUGUCCACAAUGGCCUCAUCUUGGGUUAGAGACAAUCAUCCCUAAAGAAUCAUAUUGCCGGAUAAGGUUAUCUGUGAUUGGUGGGUGCAGAUCCAUGCUCAUCCUAGAAACAAGCCAGGGCUAAAUGCGCCACUCAUUUUAGAUGCUUGGAUGUUGUGGUCACACCGAAAUGAUCGUGUGUUUAAUGGAGUUUCCCAUAGUGACUAGCGUGCAGGCUGUCCUCGUAUUCGAGAAAAAAAAAAUCAAUGGGCGAAAUAUUUUCACCCAGGUAAUUGUUGCAUUGUAUGAAUAGGUUAGAGUAUGAAUGUGCGUGUACUGUGACACAAGAAGAUUUAUCAUAUCCAUAUAUGAAUUAGUGUUAAAUUUGCUACAUAAAUAUCUUCUCUUAUCUCAUUGUAUGUGUAUAUAUGACACAGAAGCACAUGUAUAUCGGCAUUGUAGAGAGAGAGAUGAGAGAGAGAAGCUUAUCUGCUUUUUGGAGAUAAAUAUUCAAAUUACUGGUGUAUGAGAGGGAUAUAAUUAUUCUAUUAAAUUGUUUAUUCAACAUCUAAAAAGAUUCCAAUGUUUAGUCAUCUAUAUAGGCAUUGUAGAGAGAGAGACUAGUGUUCAGCUGGUUGGAAGGAUGAGAGAGAGGAGAGAGUUCAGAUGAGAAAGAGACUAGUGUUUAGCUGGUUGGAAGGAUGAGAGAGAGAGAUAGAGUAGAGUUUGGAUGAUAGAGAGAUUAGUGUUCACCUGGUUGGAAGGAUGAGAGGGAGAUGAGAGAGUUCAGAUGAGGAGGUGGAGAGUUUGGAAGAGAGAGAGAGAGGUGAGAGUUUGGAUGAGAGAGAAAGCAGCUAAGAAGGAUGAGAGAGAGAAAGCGGUAUUCAGCUGGAUGGUGGAGACUUCAUAUAUUACUUAGCGUUGCUACGGCGAAACGACGUUGCUUAGCGCGCGAUGUUUUUAUCGUGUCGUGUAGCGCACCACAUUUUUUAUCGUGUUGUGUAACUUUUUUAUUUUAGUAGUAUUAGACUUUUCAUACAUAAGGGGCCACGUGAGUGUGUCCAUAUCCCAACCGUGCGGAGACCGCUUGUCAUUGAAUUUGUUAUCUCUUGCUCUAUCUUGUGAUUGGUAGGCUUCUACAGCAAUUCUGCACAAAGAAGGCCCCACUUCGCCCCACUCCUGACGUCCGGUUAUUCCCACGCCUGCCCUCUCCCUCUCCAAUCCUCACCGCCAGCUCCUCAGGGUCUAGGUCGGCCCGUGAUGUAGUGGCCUAUUAUCCUUCCACCGUUGGAAGCGAGCAGUGAUCGCUGCUCUGUGAACCUAGCCUCAAGCUGUUCCUACCACUUCAGGUCCAGUGAUGCCCGAGCUUUCGCUUGGCCCGAACAGGCCACUACCAACUUGGAACGGGCAAGGCCAGCAAGGGCACAGAAUAGACCCAAGCCCAGAGUCCGCGCCCAACCAUCCACACCACCUUAAUGCCCCCACUUGGGUUACAAGCCCGCGCAACCAAGCUCGGUGAGGAUGGCUCGUGAGGACGAACAUUUAAGCUGGUGCGUUGCUGCUUCAGAUGGCGAGGUGAUACUAAUAUAACGAAUAGGAAAAUUUCACGUGGGUCCCAUGCCGCACCCACCCCUAUCCUUAUCCUUUCUCAUCUCUCUACUGUCUGUCCGGUCCUUAUCCUCCUCAUCUCAUCUCUCUCUCUCAAUCCCUCUCUCUCAAACUCUCUAUCUCUCCUAUCCCCUCUUUCUCUGGAGAACGCGGUGCACGGCCAGCCCCAGCGGCGGCCUGGAGGCGCGAGGUGCCGCCGGCGGCCGAGGGUUGCGGGGCUGCGGCAAGGAGCCUCCUGGCUGUGGAUGCGACGGCCUAGCCACGGGUGCCGGGCCGCGUCACACCGCGCGCUGCUGCCGUCGAGCGGGCCGCACGCACUGCCCACACACCAGGCGGCGUGGGCGGCCAGGCUGAGCGGCGCGGCCGGGGCUGGGGAGGCGACUCUGGUGCGGCCGAGGUAGCUUGGGCACGGCCGGCUGUGGUGGGUAGGGAGAGGUGGACGGCGGCACAACGGCAGCGCGGAGAGGCGGACGUCAGGCACGAACGGGUGAAAGGGGAGACUGGGAAAGAAAGCUGGACCCACCUAUCAAUGCAGCCGGGGCCGGGGCAGCGCGGGCGGCUGAGGCCGAGGCCAGGCGGCGCGGUCGGGGCCAGGGAGGCGGCUCUGGUGCAGCCAGCCGUGGCUGGCAGGGAGAGGCGGACAACAGCGCAACGGCGGCAUGGAGAGGUGGACGUCAGGCACGGGUGGGUGAAAGGGGAGACGGGGAAAGAAAGCUAGACCCACCUGUCAAUGCGUUAAUCUUACCUAUUAUUAAACAUCAGGGCCACCUCUCAUUGAUAGAAGUUGGACCAAACCAAAAAAAAGUGGGCAGAAGUGUUCCUCACUUUAAUAGUAACAAUAAAGUAUAGAUAAUGCAUCCAAACAACAUUUGGAAUUUAAUUCUAAGAAAAACAAAAUAUGAUUCAUGGAAUGAGUUUCAACUCUAGGAAUCCAAACAGGCCUUAGUUAUUUCUUAUGUAGCUCAAAUCAGAUGCAAGGUACGUCCUAACUUAAAAAACGUAAGUUACUUUGUGUUAUCUUGUGAAUCAGUGAUUAAUUACUUCCAAUCUUAUGUAAAAAGAACUACGAGUUAAAUUCUUUGUCAGAUUUAUACUGACAAGUUACAAGCACAUACCUCUGCAGUAACAGGCGAGCCCUAGACUAGUGGGCAAACCAAAAACAACAUGAUUCGUCAACUGAUCGAAUGCUAAUGACUAUUUUGCUAGGAGAAUGAACAUGAUUCAUGAAAAAAAGGGAGCUACUAACUUGGUCAAGGUCUCCGUCCUCUAGCGUGGGGAAGGGGCCAUCUUGCUCCACGCCACGUCUGCGUGGUUGCUCGGCGGGCGCGACGGCGUCGGCUGCGGAGUGCGGACGGCGCGUAGAUAUGUCAUUGUUGAUCAGGACAUGCACUGCUAUCACCGUCUGUUAUUGGUCAAGGUCUCCGUCCUCUAGCGUGGGGAAGGGGCCAUCUUGCUCCACUCCACGUCUGCGUGGUUGCUCGGCAGGCGCGACGGCGUUGGCUGCGGAGUGCGGACGACGCGUAGAUAUGUCAUUGUUGAUCAGGACAUGCACUUCUAUCACCGUCUGUGGUUGGCGUCCGCGGCCGAGCGGGUCAAGGUCUCCGUCCUCUAGCGUGGGGAAACAGGAUCUCUUCAAUCAGUGCUUCUACAGAAACGGUGCACGGUCACCACGGACCAACGACAUACCAUGAGAAAAGCAGAGCGAAAUGUUGCAGUAGCAGAGUGACCGGAGACUGGAGAGCACUUGCUGCUAAAAGCUGCCUCUUAUUUUGUAUCGUCUUAACAGAAGACUUUAAGUCAACCGCCAUUCGAUUCCAAUAUAAACUAGCAAGUUGGCCCGCGAUAAUACUGCGGCUAGAUUUGAUACAGUAUAAUUUUUUUAAAUACUAUGUUAGCUUAGUAUAUUUCUUUGUCCCUCUUGAUUUGUUUUUCAUCCUCUUGAAAUCACUGAGUAUAGUUAGGUGCCUUACUCUACACAUUGAGUAUCAAGCCAUAUGUGUAUAUUUGUUUUUUUGCAAAUGAACUCCGAUGCCACAUGUGCAUAUGCACGCCUAAUUAAAAUUGCUCACUUGUAACAAAAUAAGAACAACUUGAGUAGUUGAUUCUGAUCUUAUGUUGAAGUUUUUGCCAACUUUUCCUAGUAUUGUUGUGUUGAGUAGAAAGCCUGUGUAGAGAAAGAUACAAAACAAACGAUCGUGUCAACUACUCCCCAUGCUUGCUCAAAUGAUUUUGAAAAAAAAAAACAACCGCGCUCUAAGUCCUAGGGCGGUGAUAUUCCUCCUUACUUUCCUCCUCUUGUUUUCCAUGCACAAUCGAGGAUGACAAAUACCACAAACCACUUAGGCUCGAUCAUGUUUCAUCAUCACAUUCCUCAAAUCUUGAUCACGUUGUUGUCUUCAUUAUGCUAGCAGUACACAUCUCUCCGCCUCUUCUAUUCCACAAAACCAUAAUUGUUCACCGGCUCCAGCAUUGUUGUUGCUCUCCACCAAUCGAGGAAGCUCUUGUCCUUGACAUCACCUUAUCCACUGACCAGCUGAAGUUAUCUGUACAUCCAAAGGUCUCAUAAGAUUUUUGCUGGAUUUGCAUUAAUAUUAAUAUUGCCACCAAUCUAGUCUCAACCUCGCCUUGUGUUCUCCGUGGUCAUUUUUUAUUCUAACUUGCAAGCUCCACAACUACAUAUGAUGGUUCUUCUAUAUACAUAAUAUAUCGCAUCUUCUAAGACAUAUAUCGCGGGCCGGCGGCGCGCGGGGGAGCGGCGCCGGUGGAGCGGAGGCGACCGGUGGUGGGCGGAAGCGGGUGGGCGCGAGCGCGGGUGGAGGCGGAAGAGCGUGCAGGCGGAGGCGGAUGGGUGGAGGCGUGCAGCGGCGGCGGGCGCGGGCGUGUGGCAGCAAGGCCGGCGGCGCGGGGAGGCGGAGACCGGUGGCGGCCAGCCGGCGAGCGUGGGGAUUCUUUUUAUUUUUUUCGAAAUUUUUUAGUCCCGAUUAGUGGUUGGUAACCCAACCGGGACUAAAGGGGACCUUUAAUUCCGGGUGGAUGACCCGGGACUAAAAAUCUCCUCUUUUGUCAAGCCAUCACUAUUGUCCAUAUCACAACGCCUGUGCCUUCUCUUGUUGUCCUCCCCCUUCCCUCUACCUUGCACCUUCUGUUUUCCUGAUCCUAUUGCCAGUUUGUUGCAGCCAUUUAUGGGCACCUCUUUCAUCCAUUGUCCACUGUUGUUGCCCGCUGCUUCAGUUCUUCUCUGACCAAAGCGGUCGUAUCGCGCUGGCCGGUAGGAAGCCAUCAUCUCGCAAAAGCGUCAUCGUCGUCGCCAAACCACAUCUAGCCGAUGCCGAACCAUACUUGCCAUCUUCUUUGCCAAUUUGCCGCUAUGGAAGCCUCCAUGCAUCGCUCAUCAAGUCUAUCCUAUCUCUAUCAGCUCCUGUGGUAUCCUGUUUUGUUUUUGCCUCAACCACGAAGCCAUAGGUUGCUGGUGCUAAAUUGCAGGGCUAGCAACAGGUAUUUCCUCUCCCUGGCCUUGCGGCCAUGCUAUGUAUUUUUCUCUUUAAAAAAAUUACAAUGAUUUAAUCCUAAUGUUCCGAUCAUGUGUGAUUGGUUUAUUAAUUAAAGUUAGAGUUAUACUUGAGUAUAUUAUAUAAAAAUAAUAUAUAUAUAUAUAUAUAUAUAUAUAUAUAUAUAUAUAAGUUACCAUACAAAGUACAACUUCCUACAAGGUGGAGAGGUUCGGAUGGAAUUUUGAUUCAACUUACUCUAUUCUAGAUAUUAGAGUUGUACUAGCAAAAUAUGCUAGUAUGUUGCUACGGUAAAAGAUCAAUUGUGUUUUUCAAAUUAAUAAUAUUUUUUAUUUUCAUAACUAAAUUUUUAUUCCACUUAUUGGAUGUCCACACAUUUAAUAGAAAACUAAAAGAAUUUUUUAUUCAAGCAAGAUAGUUAAAUCAGCCUCCGAUGGCCACCGACGGGGGCUCUUUAGGACUCCUUUAGCCCCGGUUGUAAAGCUAGUGGUCCUCGGGAUUCUGGUGAGGCGUUUUGUCCCGGUUGUAACUACCAACCGAGACUAAAGGGGGGGCCUUUAGUCCCGAUCAGUGUUUCCAACACAGACAAAAUGCUCCUCACCUCCACAUACACAAUGCGCGUGCCCCAAUUUCUCUCCUCCCUCCCCUUAAUUCCAGCGGCCAGGCCUCCUCUCCUUAAUUCCAACACCCACAUGCCUCCUCUCCUCCUCCCUUCACCCCCUACCUCCUCUCCUCCCUCUCUCUCUCUCCUCCGCCGGAUCCGGCCGGCCCCCACUCCCUCUCCCCAAGCUCCUCCCUCUCCCUCGGCCGAGGCGGGUGGCGCAGCCGGGGCCAGGGCGGCGUGGGUGGCCAGGGUCGGGGCCAGGGAGGAUGAUAGGUGGUUAUGAGGAUGAUACCUGCAGAUAAUACUUUUAAUCUCAAUUCUUACAGAAGAAUUGCACUAUGAACUACGCUUUCAUUUAUACCACACCGCUCAGCUAUAAAAAAUGGUGCAAAUCGACCAAAAUAAAUGAAUAAAUCACAUGGUUUAGACUGGUGGCAUAUGUAUGUUUGAUGAGUUUUGAAUCCCAACAGACCUCUGUUUGCUUAUCCAACCGGAGGAAAAACCUUUACUUACUAAAUCAGCUUUGCAUGCCAGGCUGCAAUUGUUAGAGCAGAAUUAGGUAAUUUGUGAACAUAAUUGAAUCAAAGUUUUGUCUCUGACAAGUAAUAGAAAAUGGUAAUGCUCCAUAGCAAGAACACGUUCCUACACUAGUUUAAAAAAUUCCCUGAAAUUGGGAACAAUGGUCAAGUCCAAACCAUACUUGCAACUUGGAGGACCGCUGGCCGAUGUAAGUCAAAGUCAAAAACAGAAGGAGACAGCGACGUCUCACCAGAUCACGAAUCAGAUGCGAUGCAUGUGCAUGUUCAGCAAGACAUUGAAAAGCAAGCUCUUCAAUACGCUCCAGCCCAGCUCCACCAUGGCUUUGGCAAUGCGCGUCAUGAGCUUGCUUCCUGCCACCAUCGCCGUGAUGAUCGCAGUGGCCUCUUGGGGAGCGCACGGCGGUGCCAGCGACGAGGCCAGCGCGCUGCUUGCUUUCAAGGCUCAGCUCGCCGGCAGCGGUUCCGGCAUGCUUGCAUCCUGGAAUGGCACCGCUGGCGUCUGCGGCUGGGAGGGCGUGGCGUGCACCGGCGGCCAGGUAGUGGCACUGAGCCUGCCCUCCUAUGGGCUCGCCGGAGCCCUCUCCCCGGCCAUUGGGAACCUCACUUUCCUGCGGACCCUGAACCUGAGUUCCAACUGGUUCCAGGGGGAGGUCCCAGCAAGCAUCGGCCGCCUAGCGAGUCUGCAGACGCUUGAUCUGAGCUACAAUACGUUCUCUGGUACGCUUCCUUCCAACCUCAGUGCCUGUGUCAGCUUACUGCUGUUGAGGCUCAGUAGUAACCGGUUCCAUGGGCGUAUCCCUGUUGAGCUUGGAGACAAGCUAACAAGUCUUCAGAUGUUGUCACUGCGCAACAACAGCUUGACGGGUGCCAUACCAGGAUCACUAGGUAACCUGUCAUCCCUGAUCUACCUUCAUCUGACAGAAAACCACCUCGAGGGUCCGAUCCCACAUGAACUUGGCAGCAUGGGCGGCCUGCAGGUCCUUUUCCUCUAUGAGAACAGACUCUCCGGUGUGCUUCCACACUCCCUGUACAAUCUGUCCUCACUGAAAAGCUUGUGGGUAGGAUACAACAUGCUGUCUGGAACCAUCCCUGCUGAUAUCGGCGAUAGGUUCCCCGGUAUGGAAGCUCUUGACUUUUCUAGCAACCGAUUCAGUGGAGCUAUCCCACCUUCGCUCGCCAACCUCUCUGCUCUCACAAAACUAGUCCUUCAAGGAAAUGAUUUUAUUGGAUAUGUGCCUUCUGCUUUGGGGAAGUUAAGUCUUACUGCCCUUUACUUGGGUGACAACAGGCUAGAAGCAAACGACAGUCAAGGGUGGGAAUUCAUAGCUUCACUGGCAAACAGCUCCCAGCUUCAGCUUCUUGUUCUCGGCAACAACUCUUUCAGCGGGCAACUGCCUAAUUCAGUCACAAACCUGUCAUCAACUCUGCAAGGUCUUUAUUUGGGACCCAAUAUGAUUUCUGGGAAUAUUCCAAUAAACAUCGGAAAUUUGGUUGGUCUUACAGUACUUGAGAUGGCAAAUACUUUUGUAUCUGGACAGAUUCCAGAGAGCAUUGGUCAGCUAAGAAACUUGGUUCAGCUAGCCCUUUACAACACUAGCUUGUCAGGCCUCAUACCUUCAUCACUAGGAAAUCUUACACAGUUGAAUAGCCUUUUAGCAUACUAUGGAAACUUAGAGGGGCCAAUUCCAUCAAACUUGGGGAACUUAAAGAAUGUGUUUUCCUUUGAUCUCUCAACAAAUCGACUCAAUGGUUCAAUUCCUAUAGAGGUUUUAAAACUUCCUCGACUUUCCUGGUACUUAGACUUAUCAUAUAAUUCAUUAUCCGGGCCACUUCCAACUGAGGUUGGUACCAUGGUGAAUCUUAACGAACUGAUUCUGUCUGGAAACAAGUUGUCAGGCACCAUACCAGCUAGUGUUGGGAACUGUAUAUCGUUGGUACGGCUGCUGCUCGAUAACAACUUAUUAGAAGGAAGCAUACCGCAAUCUCUGAAGAACUUAAAAGGUCUUGAAUUACUGAACCUAACAAUGAAUAAGCUAUCUGGUAGUAUUCCUGAUGCCCUUGCUAGCAUUGGCAACCUGCAACAACUGUAUCUUGCACACAACAACUUGUCAGGUUCCAUCCCCAAAGUUCUACAGAAUUUGACAUUGUUGGCAAAACUGGAUUUGUCCUUCAAUGAUCUGCAAGGCGAAGUGCCAAAAGGGGGUCCUUUUGCAAAUGCAACUCGCUUGUCACUUGAUGGAAAUGAUGAGCUUUGUGGCGGAAACCCUCAACUUCAUUUAGCUCCGUGCUCCACAGCUGCUGCGAGGAAGAACAGAAGGCGAAUGUCAAGAUCACUUAUGGUCACCGUUGCGUCAAUCUGCGCAUUUCUAUUCUUAGGUUUAAUAGUUUGUCUUAUCCAUUUGAUCCACAAGAGGCUCAGACAAGGAAAGGAAAAUCAACUCAUUCCCACAGCAAUUGAUGAACAGCACCAAAGGGUUUCAUAUCAAGCAUUAGCAAAUGGGACUGACCAUUUUUCGGAGGUUAAUCUGCUCGGACAAGGAAGCUAUGGUGCAGUUUAUAAGUGCACUUUACAUGACAAGGGAAUUACCGCAGCUGUAAAGGUAUUCAACGUACGGCAAUCUAGGUCUACUAGAAGUUUUGUGGCUGAAUGUGAGGCACUGCGAAGGGUGCGCCACCGAUGUCUCAUAAAGAUCAUCACCUGUUGCUUAAGCAUUGAUCACCAAGGCCAAGAAUUCAAGGCACUGGUUUUUGAGUUCAUGCCCAAUGGUAACCUAAAUGAUUGGCUGCAUCCAGCAUCCAAGAUACAGAGUCUGAGCAAUACGCUCAGCUUAGCUCAGAGACUGAACAUUGCGGUAGAUAUCAUGGAUGCUCUGGAUUAUCUUCACAAUCAGUGUCAACCGCCUAUUAUCCAUUGUGAUCUCAAACCAAGUAACAUCCUCCUUGCCGAAGAUAUGAGUGCUCGGGUUGGAGAUUUCGGCAUAUCAAAAAUCCUUCCUGAAGACACUAGCAAAACUCUGCUGAAUUCAGUUAGCUUCACUGGACUAAGAGGUUCCAUCGGAUAUGUCGCUCCAGGUAACAGAAACUAACACUGAUAUUGCUAUGUUCAGUUUUUAACUUCCAUUUUGCCAAGUCCAGUUAUCUCGGCAUGCACGUUGAUAAGUAGCUUGCCAUGAAUCCACUGACCAAAUAGUGUCUGAAAUCUGAAUUGACUGCAGAGUACGGCGAGGGUCGCGCUGUCUCAACUCUUGGAGAUGUUUACAGCCUCGGCAUACUGUUGCUUGAGAUGUUCACCGGGAUGAGCCCUACUGACGACAUGUUCAAAGGCUCCUUGGACCUUCAUAAGUUCGCCGAGGCCGCUCUCCCCGACAGAGCCUUGGAGGUAGCCGACCCGGCAAUCUGGUUUCAUGAAGAAGCAAAGGGGGAAAACCCUGCCACGGUGAGAAGCAGAAGCGAGAGGUGCUUGGCUUCAGUGAUCGGGCUUGGCGUGUCCUGCUCAAAGCAGCUGCCAAGGGAGCGGACGGCGAUGCGGGAUGCUGCCGCUGAGAUGCGUGCGAUCAGAGAUGCCUUCCUGGUUCAAUGUGCAACAGAGACUUGGCCUGCAGUCGGCACCACCGGCCUUGGAAGCGCAGACAGUUGAAUGGUGGACGGAGCUACGGUCUCUUGACGCACCAAGGAGCACUGGACUAGCAACUCUGCAACUAAACAGAGUGGAGAAAGAGCCCCUUAAUGAACAGAAAAACAGCCGGUGCAAGGCUUUAUACAAAGAAUGUGACAGCCACUGCGUGUAUCCGAGAGCCUUAUCUAAUCUACCAAGGAUUGUCCAUGUACUCCCUCCGUCCCAAAAUAAACACACAUGUCACUUGUCGAGGAGUCAAACUUUCUAAGUUUGACUAAAAUAAUGUACUACUAUUUAUAAUGUAUAAUAAGUAUCAUUAGAUUGAGUAUUGAGUAUACUUUUCUAAUACAUUUAUUUGAAGAUAUAAAUGUUGAUAUUAUUUUCUAUAUUCUUAAUCAAACUUAAAAACGUUUGACUCUCGAGAAGUGAGAUGUGCGUUUAUUUUAGGAUGGAGGGAGUACCCGUCACACGGAUUAGUUAUGAUAUAAGUAGGGACUAGCAAGCACCAAAACCCCAUUCACUGCCCAUGGAUCGCUCAAAUAAAAGAAACCAUUGCAUAUGGUGGUGAUGCGCUGGCGAGCCUUUCUCCAAACUUUCUGCUCUCGCGGACCUUGAACUCGCAUGGAACAAUUUUAGUGGAAGCGUGCCUCCACCUUUAUGGAGAUUGCGAAGCCUCAUUUACCUGUCCGUGGCAAUAAGCUAGGAUUGAAUGACAAGGACGGAUUGGAAUUCAUCACCAUGCUGGCAAACUGCAGUCAGCUUCAGCAACUGGCUUUUGACAAUAAUUCAUUCAUCGGGGAACUUCCUAGCUCAAUUGCAAAUCUAUGGACAACACUCCAAUUACUCUAUAUAGGAAACAAUUGGAUUUCGGGAUUUAUUCCAUCCAGCAUAGGUAAUUUGGUUGGUCUAGAACUGCUUACGUUGGCAAAUACUUUCAUAUCCGGAGUGAUUCCAGAUAGCAUUGGUCGCCUAGAAGGCAUGUCCGUGUUAGGCAUUUACUACACUAGCUUGUCAGGCAUCAUACCUUCAUCACAAGGAAACCUUACACAGUUGAAAGCUCUCUAUGCGUACGAUAGAAACUUGGAGGGUCCAAUUCCAGCAAGCUUGGAGAACUUAAAGAAUCUUUUUGUCCUUGAUCUCUCAACGAAAGUGUGUAACCUGCUAAGAUUUCAUGUCGAAGUAGAGCAUAAACCUCUCUCAAAAGACUGCGAAGCUACCAUAGAGUAGAUCAGUCUAAGGGUCGGACUAUACCCUAUCAACGCCUCCCCUCUUGCCCUUUCGAUAAGAUUACCCCAAAGGUCCAAACUAGAGUCUUUAAUUAAUUAACCAAGACCAAAGCCAUAUAGUUCUUGUGGUUGUACUAUUUUCCUGGGUGGUCGCUCCAUGUUCCAAUUAAGCAUGGCGGUCUUGUAUUAAUAAAAGGUAUAUCAUAAAUAAAACAAGUUUAAUCAUUGAGUUCAUUAAAACCAUCAUAACCCAAGGUAUUGCAACUAAGCAUAUCUACCCAAUAAAAAGGUAAAACCCAGGUUGACAAGGAAUGAUCAUAAAAACUAGGUCAAUAUUAAAUGCAGAGCAGUGUAGAAGUGAUUAAAUAUAGUUAUUGGUACAAAAACACAAACAAGGACACACUUGCCUUUCUCCAAAGAAUAGCUGCUCAGAUUAUCUUCAGCUCUUGUUCCUCAAAGCUCUCGAACAACGUUCCUUCUACUCGCAUCAAUCAUCGGCACAAGUAUACAAAGCAAACAACAAUCACAACUAAGAACAAUACAUCAAUCAUAGGAAAGCUUUAAAAGAGCGUACUAAAGGAUAAGGCUCGAAUCUAAGGUCACACGAAUGCAAGAAACGCUAGGAACGAAACUAUGGUUGAAAAGACAAAGCUAUCGAGAGAUUUGAAUUAUAAAAGAAAGAAAAGCCUAUGUGCUUCAUAUAUUUUAAUAAUGAAAAUAAUGUAAAGAUAUUUUAGAGAGACAUCCUUAGCAAGUUAUAUUUAUAUAUGAAAAGACGAUGUAGAAUAGUCAAAUUUUCUUUAUAAACAUUCAAGUACAAUUUAUGCAAAUUAAAUAUUUAAUUUGAAAAUAAAGUAUAUGUAAACAUCUAAGCGCAUAGCUUUAUGGUUAUGGUUCGGGUUGAACUAACCAAAUAUAAUUCAAAAACACAAUUAUUUUUAUAUUAGUCAAAUUAACAUAUAAUUAUGAAAACUCGAGAUAUAACUUAUGUAGCUUUUAUUUAGAAAACAAAUUGAAUAAAUAUUAAUCAAUUUAAGUUUAAUUAUGAACCACCGUGGUGCAUCUCUAAUUCGCUUUUAAUUGAAAGAGUUGUUUAAUUAAGCAUUAACUAAAUUAACAUUUAUUAUGAAAAGCGGUUAUAACACUAAGUAGCUUUUAAUUAAAGAAGACAUGUUUAACAUGCAUUAAUUAUAUUAAUAUUAAAUUAAUUUUAAAAACAUGCAUGAUGGAAGGAUCACUACUAACAUGUAAUUUGUGUUAUCACGAACCUAACUCAACAAGAACGGAUAUAAACGAAGCUGUAAUGAGGAGCCUAUGGGUUAAACAAGGUCGUAGGGCCUAAUCACGAUUAACGGAAGGUUAUUGGGGUUAGCAAGGAAGAUUUGCAAGACACUAUAAUAGAGCUCGCCAUUAGGUCAAAGCAUAGGGUUAGAUCUAUUAAAGUGCUCAGGUUGGACUUGGUUGCACGGAUCCAAUCUAAUGAGGGACAUGGAUGAAAAAAACAAGACACAAGGAAAAACUAACUAUUUACAAAGCUUUCCGGGGCCUAUGCGCAAAAGCACCACAACUCAGCAUCCAUGGCGGACGGGCUCCUGGAUGGCAAAAUCCUCGUGUCGGAUUUAUAAGCCCACAGUCCACCAAGGGGUUACCCAAGUCGUUGAUUGUGGCGGAACCGCCCAAAUUAACCUGACUAAAAUGCAUUGAAGUCGCCUGACACGCGAUUAUGCACUUUAAGCAAGUCAACUUGGUCGACCGUCGGAUUUCCUCCGAUAAACCACAUAAACAGGAUCGAGAAGCAUCGCUCACGCGAAGGUGAGUAGCACAGAGGUUACAACAAUCCAUCAUGACAACAUAGUUCAACAAUUUAUUACAUCAGAGUUUUUGAAAUUCAAACCGAAAUUUGCAUGGUUCGAAGUCAAAGGAAAACAGCGGAAACUAAACGUCGAUACAUGACAUCACGACGGAGCCGAUCAUGACAUCAAAAAUUUCUUCCUUCGCCAUCCGAGGAAGGAUCCCACUCGACGGUCCAGCCUGGAGGAAGCUGGGUCGGCCAAGUGGUACCAACACCCAAACUAUUGACAUUACCUGAAAAAGAUUAGCCACAACAAGGCUGAGCAACUAGUACUCAGCAAGACUGACCCGUCGGAAAGACACGACCGAGACCUAGACAUGCAAGGCUUUCUGGCUCUGGGGUUUUCUUUGCCAAAAGCGUCUAAAGUCAGUCCUUAUUUUCAACAUUUUAGCUCAUGUUCUAUGUUCUUUAUCCAUUCUAGAUUAGCAACUUAUACUAAACAAACAUGGUUUCCAAGCAAUUACUUAACAAGCAUCAAGAUUAAAAUCAUCAUCAUCAUGUUCCAUCUUUACUCAGUGCAGAAUAGCGAUCAAGUAGUCCCAAUCUGUGAGAGGCAGACGAAUCGAUUCGAAUUUAUUAACCAUGCAUGGCAAACCUAAUCUCACGACAUCCGCGCACCACGAAGGGUCGCUUCAUUUGUCAGCCGUCCCCAUCGAUCCCUUAGGCACGUGUCAGGGCCAACUUCCUUUGGCAUGCAAUGCUCCACAGUCCUGGCCUAUUGCUGCACUGUGACCGCACUUGCACCCACAUGAUGCACCAUGGGAACGACGUUCCAAGGACAGCCGGAGGGUAUGCCACGCCCCAGUUCAAUCAGGUACUAGGCUUCCCCAUCCCAUACUAGGUAUGAGAUUAGUACUUUCAAACACUUGAUCACGAACGCCGACACGUUUCGACCAUAGUUCAUUUUCAUUUAGACAGACGGGGCAAUCCACCAAGUAUCGAACACAAGCCUGACCCCGUCCGUCGUCCUUAUAGUUGCGACAUAUCUGAAAUAUUCAACUCCUAUAACUCGCGAGUGACAGGAGAUCACUCGACUUUUACCGAAACCUAUUAAGCAAUGCAACUACUCGGCAAGGUCUUCUUCCGGCGCCGGGUGAAGCUCGUACGUUCCGUCGGCGAGAUUCAACUCUACACGAAAAUGCAAUGCUGGGGUUAGACAUUUUAGAUGGUUAUUUCAACACACUCAUGUUUUAACACGGACACUUUGCUACAGGAAAGGUGGGGGAGUUCAACUUCUGUUGGUGGAGAACAGGAUGAGAGGGUCGGAUUGGGGGAAACUUAGGGUCUGACCCUCAGGUUUAAGGAAAAACCGUACCGAGGUCGUCAGACUCAACACAGAGGAAUCCCCAAAAUUAUUUCAUCGUACCCUCGGGUCAAAGAAAAAGUUACAACCGAGCCCUCGGGCGAGGCGGAGAAAGGGUCGGCGAAACUUGGCAGGGUCGGGCGAGGCGAAAGGAAAAAGGUCGGGCGAGAUGAAAAGAAAAGGGGUCGGGCGAACCGAAACAAAGGGGUCGGGCGAAACGAAAAGGAAGGGGUCGGUCGAGAGGGAACACAAGGGGUCGGUCGAGACGGAACACAAGGGGUUGGUCGCUUACCUCCAGGUCUACCGGUGAAGCCUUGGGGCCGAACAGGAGUAGGCUGGGGUGGGAAGUCGUACACGCUAAGUCUUGGGCAACGGCGAGUCUUCGACGGUGGUCAGGUGGCGGUGGUGCUUCUUGCGGACACCAGCAAGCUCGAGUACCGUGCGGAGGAGCGGGCGGCUGGUCUGUUGGGAGAAACGGCUUGAGGGUGGCGGCGAAGUCGCCGAAGUGUGGGGGUGGUGUAAAAGGGGUGAGCUCCACGGAAGCUCAGCGGCGGCGCGGGGAGAAAGCGGCGGCGCAGGUGCGGGCGGUGGCAAGGGGUGGCAUUGCCGGUGAGGGGGGUUCCCUUUUAUAGGGUCGGGGUGGCGCGGAGGGUCGAGGCGGGGCUUCGGUGGGGAAAGGAUAAGGCCGGGAGCGGCGAGUGCGCGGACAAGGCGGCCAUUGGCCAGCAACGCCAUUGGGCAGAGGAGGUGGAGCUCCGGGUGGUCUUCGGCGGCGAUUGGCCUUGGGCGACGCCCGUCUGGGGCUUCCGGUCUGUCGGGCGGGCGAGGCGGAGAGCUACCGUGGGGGUUGGGCGAACGGGCGGAGGCGCGGGAUGUCGGGGGCGUGUCAGCUUUCUCGGCGGACGGGCGGAACAGGGUUGGCGGAGCAGAGCCGUGGCAGGCGGAAGGCGGCACGCGCGCAGCCGGCGGUUGGCUGGCCCGGCGUUCGCUCCGUCCUGUCGCAGGCGCGGGUUGGGCGCCGUGGCUCUCGUCCUGUCGCUGUCGUGCUGGGGAUAGGGCGCCGGCGAGCUGCCGGUGGCCGGCGGCCACGUGGCGCGCGGUGCGCGAGCGAACAUGCUCGGGCGUGCGGGCGUCGAGGCUCCCUUCGGGCAGCAAGCCCGACCAGCUUUGGAGUGAUCCUUCCUCCGAAUCUUUCAACACAACUUCCGAAACUCCCUUAAACAAACUUGCUCAACUCUGAUUGUUCUUCAAACUUUGUUUAAGGUGCUGGUUUAGAUUGUGAAAGGAUUCAAAGAUAUUUCCGGCCAAGUUAGCCAAAAAUCUGGGAUUCCAGACUUAGGAUUUAAGGCAUCCGGGGUGAGUUGACUGGUUUACCUCACUUUGACCGGGAUUUUGAACAAGUUCGGGUCCGAUUUGGAUCUGGGUCAGAGUAACAAAGUUGGAAUACACUCGAGGUACUACAACUUUCAUUAAGGCUCUGACUUGGGUUUAGAUAGGAAAACGGGAUAUGAAAGCUUGUAAAGAUGGAGGAAAACUCGAAUUCCAGGACUUAAGAGAUUUUCAGGGUCCUUUAGAAAAACCGGCUUUGGUUGCUGUUUUUGACUUCCUUCCACUCCGAAUUGGUCAAAGUGCUUUUAACAAAAGUUGUUGGAAUUAAAAAGUUUUACAACUCUUAUUUGGGCAGAAACUUAAGUUUGUAUAUAAUAUUUCAAGAUUUAAAUCAAACUCCAAAAGGAGCUUCUUAGGUUUAUAAAGGUCAUUUCACUUCUUAAAUUAGGGAUUUAUCACUGGUUUAGAGUUAAAAGUACUUAAUUUAGGUAGAGUUGUUACAGCCUACCCCCCUUAAAGGAAUCUUGCCCCGAGAUUCAAGUGCAGAAGGAACUAGUGUGGUUGGUGCAAUGUACCUCCUUGCUCGAAAAGAAAACCGCGGAAGUUAGCGUUGAGGUACUCUUCCGUCUCCCAGGUCGCUUCAUCUUCCGUAUGGUUACUCUACUGAAUUUUGUACAUCUUGACCAUUUGCCGACGAGUAUGUCUUUCCUUGCGGUCGAGGAUCUUAACAGGAUACUCCUUAUAUGAUAAAUCGGGUUCGAUCUCCAAUUCUUCCGGGGGAAUGAUUUCAGUUGGAAUCCUGAUGCACUUCUUAAGUUGCGAGACAUGGAAAACAUCAGGUAUUGCUACAAUCUUCUCUGGAAGUUUAACUCGGUACGCUAUGGGUCCACACGCCUCUACGAUCUCAUAGGGACCAAUAUAGCGCGGAGCUAACUUUCCCUUUACUCCAAAACGUUGUACACCUUUGGUCGGUGAAACCCGUAGGUAUACAAAAUCCCCAACCUUAAAUUGGAUGGGUCUUCUUCUUUGAUCGGAAUAGCUCUUGUGUCGAGAUUGGGCGGCCUUGAGAUUUUCGCGGAUGACUCUCACUUUUUCUUCGGCCUCUAUGACCAGGUCAGGUCCAUACACCGUUCGCUCUCCGGGUUGCGACCAGCUCAGUGGGGUCCGGCAUCUACGUCCAUACAAGGCCUCGAAAGGUGCCAUUUUCAGGCUAGCUUGGUAACUGUUGUUGUAGGAGAAUUCCGCUAAUGGCAAAUACCCCAGUUCUUGUCAUAAUGAAUAACACAGGCGCGUAACAUAUCUUCCAAAAUCUGAUUAACCCUUUCAGUUUGCCCGUUGGUCUGAGGAUGAUAUGUGGAACUACGGAUCAAUUGAGUGCCAAGUGAAAACUGCAACUGCUCCCAAAAGCGUGCUACAAACUGACUACCUCGAUCAGAGAUGAUCAUUUUAGGUACUCCAUGCAAGGAAACAAUCCGAUCAAGGUACAAUUCUGCAUAUUUCUGUAUGGUGUGGGUGGUGUGUACUGGAAGGAAAUGUGCCGUUUUGGUUAGUCGGUCUACUAUAACCCAUAUGGAGUCAUGCUUGCGGGGGGUAUUGGGUAGUCCGACUAUAAAGUCCAUGCUUAUGUCUUCCCAUUUCCACGAGGGAAUAGGCAGCGGCUGCAAGGGGCCAGCUACCCUCAAGUGGCUUGCCUUGACUCGCUGACAGGUAUCACACUCUGAAACAUAGCGUGCAAUGUCGGGUUUCAUCCCACUCCACCAGAAAUUUUGUCGGAGGUCGUGAUACAUCUUGGUAUUGCCGGGGUGAAUCGAGAACUUGGAUAGGUGUGCUUCGUGCAGAAUUUGUCUCUUAAGCUCGGGAUCAUUUGGAACUACAAGUCGAGCUUCAUAAUGUACCACUCCUUUCCAGCCCUGUCGGAAACGUUUAUAUCCCUCAUCCUUCUGUGCAAGUUUCCCUUUGAUAAUGUUUAUCUCUUUGUCCUCUAGCUGUGCUAGAAUGAUUUGGUCAAGUAGGGUGGGCUCUAGAGAAAUAUGACUUAAGGUGUCGUGUGGAACAAUUUCCAAGUUGAGUCUAGCCAUUUCGUGACACAGGGUCUCGGCAUAAUUACUCGCCGAUAAGCAGUUACAAUGGAUCUUGCGGCUAAGGGCAUCUGCAACUAUGUUGGCUUUUCCUAGGUGAUAAUGCACUUCUAGGUCAUAAUCCUUGAUUAAUUCUAGCCAUCACCGCUGAUGCAUGUUGAGGUCUUCUUGAGUGAAUAUAUACUUAAGGCUCUUGUGAUCUGUAUAGAUGUUGCAUCGGGUUCCCAUGAGUUAAUGCCUCCAUAUUUUCAGAGCAUGAACGACUGCCGCUAACUCAAGAUCAUGAGUAGGGUAAUUCAACUCAUGUGGUCGUAAUGCUCGCGAGGCAUAGGCAAUGACUCGGCUGUCUUGCAUAAGAACACAACCAAGUCCAGUGCCAGAGGCAUCGCAAUACACAUCAAAUGGCCUAGUGGUGUCGAAAACUUCGAAUCUGAUGAACUGAAGUGGGCGGCUUCCAGUCCAUUACUUCUUGCACCUUGCUUGGGUCUACUGCUAUACCGUCUCUGGAUAUGGUGUGUCCCAAGAAUUUAACACUGUCCAGCCAAAAGUCACACUUAGAGAAUUUGGCAUAGAGUUGGUGGUCUCUUAAGCGUUGGAGUAAAGUAUGUAGGUGCUCUGCAUGUUUUUCUUCAUUCUUCGAGUACACCAAGAUGUCGUCAAUGAAUACCACGACGAAUUUGUCGAGUUCGGGCAUAAACACCGAAUUCAUGAGGUACAUGAAAUAAGCCGGUGCAUUAGUAAGCCCAAAUGACAUGACUAAGUACUCGUAGAGUCCAUAUCGUGUAGAAAAGGCAGUCUUUGGAAUGUCGCACGGGCGGAUCUUGAUUUGAUGGUAGCCAGAACGGAGGUCAAUUUUGGAAAACACUCUAGCUCCAGCUAAUUGGUCGAACAGAACAUCAAUGCGGGGUAGUGGGUACUUAUUCUUUAUCGUCACCGCAUUGAAAGGUCGGUAGUCCACACACAUACGCAGACUAUCGUCCUUCUUUUUCACAAACAAGGCAGGGCAACCCCAAGGUGAUGUACUUGGGCGAAUAAAACCCUUUUCCAACAAAACAUGCAACUGAGUUUUCAUUUCUGCUAGUUCGGCUGGUGGCAUCCGGUAUGGUCUCUUUGAAAUUGGGGCGGUACCUGGUUGCAACUCAAUGGCAAACUCGAUGUCUCUCUCAGGCGGCAUACCCGGCAAAUCGUCUGGAAACACAUCCGGGUACUCGCACACUACUGGGAUAUCUUCCAAUCGGGCUUUAGACACGGGAUAGGCACAAGAAGUUUGGCACUCUCGGGGAGGUAAGUGUAUAGUCGAGCUACCAUACUUGGGUGAAUUUAUAUGGAUUGCCCUGGCAGGGAUAUCUAGGGUCACUUGGUGUCGGGUCAUCCAAUCCAUACGCAAGAUAACAUCUAUUCCUUCUAUCCCAAGGGUAAGCAGAUCUUCCUUAAGAAGGGUCCUCCCUAACUGGAUAGGUACUCUGCAGCUUACUUGGUGUGAAGUUACCUUUCCACCCGGGGUAGAGAUUAUGUAGGUACCUUUGGUGUGACAGAAAUCUAACCCACACUUAGCACUGAUUCUAGUCCCAAUGAAACUAUGAGAUGCUCCCGAAUCAAACAGAAUAAGGACGGGUUGAUCACAGAUAGAAAAGGUACUCGUCAUCACUGGUGCGCCCUCUGGAAGUUCAGCAAGGGUGGUGAAGUUCAGCCUGCCUUGUCGGACCUGCACCUUUGGCUUCUUCCCCUUGUUGCCCAGUGUAUGGCUCUGACUGGGUCGUUGAUUCUGGUUGCGGGGGCAGUCCUUGGCGAAGUGUCCUGGGUUCCCGCAAGUGAAACAGCGGUUUCCAGUGACCGGGCGCAGCGGCAUCGGGAGAGCAGGGCGGGGUCCUUGCGGCUGGAAUCCGGGGAAACGAGGUGCUGCCUGCGGUGGAGGUCGAGCAACCCAUCUCCCAGGCUGUGCGGGCGUGCGAGGUGCUUGUGGGGAAACCAUUCUGUACUUCUGGGCAGGCGGGCUGGGUGCCGGCAUUGGGGCCUUCCUUUUCAUGUCGGCCUUGAGGGCCCUCAUGCAAUCUUCCUGGGAAAUGGCCAGGUUCACCAGUUCAUUGUAGGAACCCACUUUGAUGGGAUUCAGCCUUUCCUUGAGCUUCAAACUCAAGCCUCUGCGGAAACGGUCCCUCUUUUUCUCAUCGGAGUCCGCAUGGUAGCCUGCAUAGCGACACAGGUCAUUGAAAGCCUGCGCAUAGUGCAGACAUCGCGGCCUCCCUGGGUGAGAGCCAGGAACUCGUUGAGCUUGCGCUCCAGAAGACCUUCAGGGAUGUGAUGGCCCCUGAACGCCGUCUUGAAUUCCUCCCAACCGACGACGUGGUCGGCCGGCUGCAUGGCAUGGUAGUGAUCCCACCACAGGAGAGCAGAACCACGCAACUACUGCGCGGCGAACCGAACCUUGUUCUCGUCCGGGCAGUAGGCGGUGAGAAGGGAGAACUUGGACUCGAUAGUGCGAAUCCAGGCAUCGGCGUCAAGUGGGUCCUCCGUCUUGUGAAAUAGAGGAGGCUGGGUCCCCAGAAAAUCUUCGUAACGAGCAACAUGGGGCUGUUGAUGGGCCCUUCCUCCCUGAGGCUGCUGCUGCUGCUGCCCCUGAGCGAUGUGCCUCAACAGCUCGGUCUGGGCUGCCAAGAUCGACUCGAGGGUGGUCGGAGGCGGAGGUGGGGGAGGCACCUCGCUGCCACUGGGAACGGAGCCGGAGCGUGUGCGAUGCGCCAUCCUUGGGCGAGCCAAAACCUUAUCCCCGGGGUCUCACUAAUUCCGACCUCUGGUGCCGGGGUCGGGCGAAACGGAGCUUCUCAACACGGGAUCGGACAAAACGGAGCCUUUCAUCCCGGGGUCGGGCGAGGCGGAGACCUGCCGCGAGGGGUCGGGCGCGUCCGACCUCGCGACUCGGGGUCGGUCAACUUUGGACAGGCCCACAGGAGACGGGUGUGUGGUCACAGCACCAAAACCCACACAACUUGGCAUUCACGGCGCGUCGCAAAGGGUCAAAAGUCGAGUCAAGAGUGAAAGAAAAACAGGAACUGCUUUCACCAAGAUCAUUUCAUUGCUGGUCUUAAAAUAUAGGAGGAGUACUCAACUCAAGGCUAACCUAUUACAUCAUUGGCCAAAAAUAUAGGUCGUCGAGGAGUACAAUCAAAAAUAAAAUAGAACCGCUCAACCUAGUUUGUUAUAACUAGAAGUCGUCGAGGUUGCCCACGGAGGCAAAGCUAAGGACCGGAGAGUGAGCAUCACCAACUGGAGGCUGCGGUGAGGCAUUCUCAUAGUCCAUGCUUGAAAAGCCUUCGAUCUCCUCAGGCUCCUCCUCCUGGGCCAUCGGCUCAUCCAGCUGCACCUCUAAGGCGUGGAUGGCAUUAAGCUCAUCGUGAUGCUCCUGCAGGUGCUCAUUGGCGUUCGCCAGCUCCAUGUUCACAUCAUAGAACUGGUCAGCCAAGAUCUCCAUAUCGUGAUCCAUAUCCACAAUCUCUUCCUCCAAACGAGUAAUCUUGUCCUGCAUCUCAGCAAUCUGAACAUCCUUCUGUACCAGCUCGAGCGACUGGUCCACCAUGCCACUCUGCACGGUAGACAAGGCAACCUGGUUGGCCACUGCCAUCCCAAUCACCAUAGCCAUCGCUCGGCUCUGCAGCUCAACCAUCCUGUAGAACACAUUCAGGCAACGAGCUGAAACAAAAAUCGUGCACUGAGGAUCCAUAAGCCCGAGCAAGUCCAUAUGCUCCAUACGAUCCAACCAGUCCGGGUCCCUCGUACCCCGGGCAGGGAACAACCCAAUCGGGUCUAGCAUGAUCUCAAGAGGGUGUGCCCAGCAAAACUGGGUCAAGGUCUGCAAGGCUGCGAACUCCCAGGCGUCGUGGAGCGUGUGUCCCUCAGCCACUACCUCCAACAGCGACAACGGUGGCUGAUCCGGAGGCGGGGGUACCCGCACGUGUAUGCGGCUCCGCGGAAUCCCGUGGUCCUGGUACGCACGGCCCGCAUAAACCGGCGGCGACUGGUACCCGAAAGAGCGCAGGGUGUCCCACAACACAGUUGGAAAACCCUCGUAGUGAAGGCACCGUGAGUAGGUGGUGCCCUCCGUACCGACUGCCACGUGCACGGGCUGCGCCAUCUGUAACCAAGGGUCACGUGAGAAAUGGGGUUAACACUUGGAAAUCAAACAGAUUUCUGGCAGUUAGAGAAAAGCUCAUAACUCAGCAAGUAUUCCUCCAAAAUUUCUCAAAUUUUACCAGCAUGUUCUUUAGAUAGUGGGUAACAAGUUUGGUAUUCAAAGGUAGGGCUAGAACAGACCUAACAAGGUGAUAAUCUCAGAUUCCCAUUAAGUAUACCUGCUGGAACUCUUCAGACCGAGUCAAGAUAAACUGAAUACAUCUUCCAAACCAGAGACUUAACAAAACCGAAACUCUACCAGUAAGUCCUUCACUAAGUUCUAAAAAACUCUGCUUAAAGGACUCCUCGCAGAAAAGGUCCUUAAGGUGGUCGAAAUAGCAGAAACUCCGUUGGUGUGCACUUUGGGCUAACAGCCAACAGGGGGUCACCAAACUGAUCACAACUCUCAACCCAAAUGGUAGUACCUUGAGGCAGUUUUACUUGGGAGUUUUAACACAACUUUCUUAUACAAAGUUUCUGGAGUUAGCAUGGCGGAAAAAGGACAGCUAGACAAUCCUUAACGCGGUGCAUUACUUUUUACGACGUACUCGAGUUUGGUUUUAUUUCCUUAGGUUGUGAUUUUUAUUUCUUAAUGCAUGCACGUCCUAGUCGUCCUCUCAACCAAAAAUAAUUUCCAAAAACCUUUGGACUUACGUGGUCAGUGCCGGUGGCAAGGCAACAAUACGGCUCUCACUAUAAUAGCUAGUCGAGUUACUAGGCCUCGUUUCGAACGCAACGUUUGUUAGUGUACCUGCAGAAAAACACAACACAGCUUGAACCUUCCGUGCCAGCACUCAUGAAAGCGUCCACAAUCAUUACCGUUCACUAUAGAAAUGGCACCCAUGCGUUUAACACUGCAUGGACAGUGCAACAACCGUGGAAAUAGGUUCCUUUGAAUAGAAUCCUAUAACCCUUCGCAUUCUCGUGAUGCAGAAUCAUGCACACGUGUAACAAACGUGGGCGAACAACCGUGACGAUAGGCUCGUUGGAAUCGAACCAUACCAUCCUUCGCAUGUAUUAACAUACGGAACCUGCGCACGUAUAAUAGAUGUGGGCGAAACAACCGUGAUGAUAGGCUCGUUGGAAUCGAAUUCCCAUCACCCUUCGCAUACUCGCGAUGCGGAUUUCGGCACACGUAUGAUAGACAUGGCAACAAGUGCUGGAAGUUAGAAGAUAACCAAUAACUAUUAGCCACCUUAAAAAUAACCCCAAAAUCCCCUAGGGCUCCUCGAACUAAACUCAUCCUUAGCGAACUUACGAAUUUCUCAAUUUUACUUCUUCCAAAUUUUAGUUGGAAAAAGAGUUUUAAGGUUUGUUGUUCUCCGUACUGUGCUUCGAGCUCUGAUACCAGCUGUGGCGGAACUGCCCAAAUUAACCUGACUAAAAUGCAUUGAAGUCGCCUGACAUGCGAUUAUGCACUUUAAGCAAGUCAACUUGGUCGACCGUCGGAUUUCCUCCGAUAAACCACAUAAACAGGAUCGAGAAGCAUCGCUCACGCGAAGGUGAGUAGCACAGAUGACAACAUAGUUCAACAAUUUAUUACAUCAGAGUGUUUGAAAUUCAAACUGAAAUUUGCAUGGUUCGAAGUCAAAGGAAAACAGCGGAAACUAAACGUCGAUACAUGACAUCACGACGGAGCCGAUCAUGACAUCAAAAAAUUUCUUCCUUCGCCAUCCGAGGAAGGAUCCCACUCGACGGUCCAGCCUGGAGGAAGCUGGGUCGGCCAAGUGGUACCAACACCCAAACUAUUGACAUUACCUGAAAAAGAUUAGCCACAACAAGGCUGAGCAACUAGUACUCAGCAAGACUGACCCGUCGGAAAGACAUGACCGAGACCUAGACAUGCAAGGCUUUCUGGCUCUGGGGUUUUCUUUGCCAAAAGCGUCUAAAGUCAGUCCUUAUUUUCAACAUUUUAGCUCAUGUUAUAUGUUCUUUAUCCAUUCUAGAUUAGCAACUUAUACUAAACAAACAUGGUUUCCAAGCAAUUACUUAACAAGCAUCAAGAUUAAAAUCAUCAUCAUGUUCCAUCUUUACUCAGUGCAAAAUAGCGAUCUAGUAGUCCCAAUCUGUGAGAGGCAGAAAAUCGAUUCGAAUUUAUUUACCAUGCAUGGCAAACCUAAUCUCACGACAUCCACGCACCACGAAGGGUCGCUUCAUUUGUCAGCCGUCCCCAUCGAUCCCUUAGGCACGUGUCAGGGCCAACUUCCUUUGGCAUGCAAUGCUCCACAGUCCUGGCCUAUUGCUGCACUGUGACCGCACUUGCACCCACAUGAUGCACCAUGGGAACGACGUUCCAAGGACAGCCGGAGGGUAUGCCACGCCCCAGUUCAAUCAGGUACUAGGCUUCCUCAUCUCAUACUAGGUAUGAGAUUAGUACUUUCAAACACUUGAUCACGAAGGCCGACACGUUUCGACCAUAGUUCAUUUUCAUUUAGACAGACGGGGCAAUCCACCAAGUAUCGAACACAAGCCUGACCCCGUCCGUCGUCCUUAUAGUUGCGACAUAUCUGAAACAUUCAACUCCUAUAACUCGCGAGUGACAGGAGAUCACUCGACUUUUACCGAAACCUAUUAAGCAAUGCAACUACUCGGCCUUAGCAACUAGUAUUCAAAAACAAGGUACUAAGUUUAUGCAUCUAAGGUUCCAUUACAACUCCUCGAAACGUAAAUGCGCAAUCAAGUAAUCAAUAAUAUUGCAUGAACUCAAGAUAGGAAUUUAUGCUCCGGGGCUUGCCUUCAGGAAAAGCUUGCGGGUCCUCGGGGUCUUGCUCCGGUUCGGGCUCUCCUUCGAAGGGAUGCAGUUCCUCGGCGGGGUCUUCUUUCGGCGCCGGGUGAAGCUCGUACAUUCCGUCGGCGAGAUUCAACUCUACACGGAAAUGCAAUGCAGAGGUUAAACAUUUUAGAUGGUUAUUUCAACACACUCAUGUUUUAACACGGACACUUUGCUACAGGAAAGGUGGGGGAGUUCAACUUCUGUUGGUGGAGAACAGGAUGAGAGGGUCGGAUUGGGGGAAACUUAGGGUCUGACCCUCAGGUUUAAGGAAAAAUCGUACCGAGGUCCUCAGACUCAACACAGAGGAAUCCCCGAAAUUAUUUCAUCGAUACCCUCAGGUCAAAGAAAAAGUUACAACCGAGCCCUCGGGCGAGGCGGAGAAAGGGUCGGCGAAACUUGGCAGGGUCGGGCGAGGCGAAAGGAAAAAGGUCGGGCGAGACGAAAAGAAAAGGGGUCGGGCGAACCGAAACAAAGGGGUCGGGCGAAAUGAAAAGGAAGGGGUCGGUCGAGACGGAACACAAGGGGUCGGUCGAGACGGAACACAAGAGGUCGGUCGCUUACCUCCAGGUCUACCGGUGAAGCCUUGGGGCCGAACAGGAGUAGGCUGGGGUGGGAAGUCGUACGCGCUAAGGCUUGGGCAGCGGCGAGACUUCGACGGUGGUCCGGCAGCGGCGGUGCUUCUUGCGGACACCAGCAAGCUCGAGUACCGCGCGGAGGAGCGGAUGGCUGGUGUGUUGGGAGAAACGGCUUGAGGGUGGCGGCGAAGUCGCCGGAGUGUGGGGGUGGUGCAAAAGGGGUGAGCUCCACGGAAGCUCAGCGGCGGCGCGGGGAGAAAGCGGCGGCGCAGGUGCGGGCGGUGGCAAGGGGUGGCAUUGCUGGUGAGGGGGUUCCCUUUUAUAGGGCCGGGGUGGCGCGGAGGGUCGAGGCGGGGCUCCGGUGGGGAAAGGAUAAGGCCGGGAGCGGCGAGUGCACGGGCAAGGCGGCCAUUGGCCGGCGACGCCAUUGGGUAGAGGAGGCGGAGCUCUAGGUGGUCUUCGGCGGCGAUUGGCCUUGGGCGGUGCGCGUCUGGGGCUUCCGGUCUGUCGGGCGGGCGAGGCGGAGAGCUACCGUGGGGGUUGGGCGAACGGGCGGAGGCGCGGGAUGUCGAGGGCGUGUUAGCUUUCUUGGCGAACGGGCGGAACAGGGUUGGCGGAGCAGAGCCGUGGCAGGCGGAAGGCGGCACGCGCGUGGCCGGCGGUUGGCUGGCCCGUUCGCUCCGUCUUGUCGCAGGCGCGGGUUGGGCGCCGUGGCUCUCGUCCUGUCGCUGUCGUGCUGGGGAUAGGGCGCUGGCGAGCUGCCGGUGGCCGCUAGAUUUUUCUCACUAUGAAUAUAAUUCAUAGCAAUUACUUUGGAGUUUUUCAGCUUUCUAACAGAUUUAAGCCUCCGCUUCACAUGCCUCGAGGACUUCAUAUUAUCCUUAGUACUCAUAACUUUGAUCAAUACCGUUUGGUUAUCAUAGUACAUAAGGAUUGCCGGAACUGGUUUCUCCACCAGUGGCAAGUCCAUGAGUAGCUCUCUUAGCCACUCGGCCUCAACAGUAGCCGUGUCAAGUGCUACAAGCUCAGCUUCCAUGGUUGACCACGUCAAAAUGGUCUGUUUACACGACCUCCAUGAAACUACAGCACCUGCUAGUGUAAACAUAUAGCCACUCGUGGCUUUAAUUUCAUCCGCAUCAGAAAUCUAGUUGGAAUCACUAUAUCCUUCCAAUGCAGAUGGAUAACCAGUAUAGUGAAUUCCAUAUUCGAUUGUACCUCUCAUGUAACGUAGCACUCUCUCUAGUGCCUCCCAAUGAUCCUUCCCUGGAUUGGAAGUUAAACGACUUAAUUUGCUCACAGCAAAAGAUAUGUCGAGACAUGUUGCACCAGCAAGAUACAAAAGGGACCCAAUUAUUUGUGAAUAUCUCAAAUGGUCCAUCCCUUCAUCUUUAUUUUUCCUUAGCUUUACACUAGCAUCGUAGGGUGUAGGGGAUACUUUUGCAUUUUCAAAGCAAAAGCGACAAAAUAAUUUUUUCACAUAAUGAGAUUGAUUUAGAAUAAUCCCAUUCUCAUUUUUGGUCAACUUAAUAUUUAGGAUAACACUUGCUUCUCCCAGAUCCUUCAUGUCGAAGCCUGAAGAUAAGAAUGAUUUGACCUUCAAGCCCACUGCACACCGAAUUCGAAGGUCGACAAGGCGCCAUAGCAAGAGAUUCAGCACAGCGAGUGGGAAGACGAGCGUGUAACAGCGUCCAUUCAACCAGGACAUCUCCUGGUGUUAUAGACCUUCGUAGUGCAUCAGUUUCCCCAUCAAACAGCCUCAUCAAGCAGUAGAAACUGCCAAUUUGAACGAUAGAAACGGCUUCCAUCAAAUUGUUGAAACUGACACACCUUAUUGCUGUUUAAAACGGCAAUUUCAAUCACAUUGAAUUGCCAUUAGGCUCAGCAUAAAAAAAAUAAUAACUGCACAAACAAUAGUCACAACUCACGCGAUUUUCCACGUGAAAAUGUGCGUGAGCUUCAUGUGCGUGUAGCAACAAUCUCCUUCUCUCUCAUUUGCAUCUAUUUUGCAUAGAGAGGAGACUCCCAUAUUUAAGCAAGGCAACCUCUCCUUGAAUUAGCAAUAUAAGACUAAAGGUUGUGUAUGCUUUGGAAUUUUCUAAUUGGGCCACAUAUGGGCCUAAAUCCAAGACGGUGAAGGUUCUUCUAUCUCAACUCAAGGUGACGUUUAUAGCCUCGGCAUAUUGCUUCUUGAGAUGUUUACUGGAAGGAGCCCAACGGAUGAGAUGAGAUAUUCAAUGAUUCUUUGGAUUUGCACAAGUUUUCAGCGAAUGCUCUUCCAGAGAGAAAACGGGAUAUAGUUGAUCCGACAAUAUGGAUGCACACAGAUGCCUAUAACAGCACUAUAAGAAGUGGAAUUAAGAAUUGCUUGCUUUCUGUUGUUUGUCUUGAAAUAUCAUGCUCGAAGAAACAACCUAGGGAGCAGAUCCCGAUUCAGGAUGCAGCCAUUGAGAUGCACGCUAUUAGAGAUUCGUAUCUCAAGUUUGCCAGAUCUCUUUUGGUGGAGCAUGGAGUAGUAGCAACAACUCACAGUGAUUUCCCACAACAGUGAAUACAUAGGACUGAAAAUGGGCAAGAUGUUGCAGGUGAUCAGUUUACCUGAAAUAACUGAAGAUGUAUGAAGCUUCAGCUUUAUAAUUCGUCCAUGCAUUUGUUUGCAUCAGAUAUAUGGAAGUAUAAAAUAAGUUUAGAAAAUGUUUCAAAAUAGAUUAGAUCCAGAGGUUUUACUUGUCGUCUGUAUGACACAUUUUUUGUAGAGAAUUCAGUAAUAUGUAUGAUUCAUAAUACAAUCAAUGCUCUACAAAUUUCAAUAGCACAAUUGGAAUAAAAAGCUCAUUCAUUGAUUAUGUUGCUCUAGGUAACUCAACUUAUUGUGAUGUUCACUGUAGAUUUCUCCAUGGUCCAAACGACCUUUGUGAUCAGUUAUGUUUAUGCAUUUUGUAGAAUUGUAAAGUCUUUCCCUAACCUGCUGACGUAUCAGCCGGAGCAUGAGAAGGGGGUGCACCAAAUAUGGGAUGAGAUGGAGAGGAGUGAAUCAGGCCCAGAUCAACGAUCAUUUACUAUUAUGGUUUAUGGUCUUCAUUCCCAAGAAAAGCUUGAUGAGGCUCUGCAAUAUUACACAACAAUGAAGUCAAGAGGGUUGAUCCCUGAACCAAGGACCAAGAUACUGGUGAAAGCUAUACAUAUGAAGAAAGAUGGGGCUGUCACAGAAGAUCAGUCUGCAAAUAUGACAGGGAAGAAUCUAAAACUGGAUCCACGAUCUAGCCUAUUCCAUGUUCAUAAAUAGUUUGCUGUCAGAUCUUACUUCUAUAACCUCAACAGAGGAUUGCUGGGCACGUAUUAUGUGUCAAAAGAAUCUCUUCUACCAGUGUCCAGAUCACAAUGGCCACACCUUGGGCUACAAUAAAUCAUCAGAAAAGUGUAUUGGCAUCAUGUAUCCCAGAAAGUUUUGCUCAGACUUUCAAUGCCAGGGUAUGUUUUUCAUGUCUGAUAUGGAUCAAUUAUAUUGCAAGUACUGUAUUACACGCUCGUAUUAUGAAGGUUAUGUGAAAUAUGACAGAUGUUUGUUUAUUCAUCUGUUAUGCAUGGCUGUGUCUACUGUCUAGCUGUUGGCUUGUUGCCAACAUAUGCAGCAGCAGGUAGCUUCAGCCGCUCAGAAGCCCAAAUGAAGGAUGGCCCAGGCAGAAUAGCUAUGUCUAGACCCAGAAAGCUUAGGACAUGUCUUGCCAGCCUGCAGUUUUGUACUCGUAGCACCAACCAUCUCCGGGUUCUGGCCGGUUAUAUACAUGGUCUGGACUCUGGAAUGGGCAUCCGCUGAUCGAUUGAAACCUUGAGCUGCUUCCGUGUUUGUCUUUUACCAUCUAUAUAUUAUGGUUAGUCAACGGCAUGCAGUACACCCAUGCAUAUGAUUGCAGUAGGAUGACAUGGCGCGACCAGAACCCUUCUUUUGCCAGUUUUAGAUUCUUAUACACGGCCAACUGACGCAGCAGGGAGUUGCAUGCUAAGCAGUUCAGCGUAGGUGGUGAGUUCUCAACUCUGAUAUGGCUUAUGGAAGAACACUGUCACGGUGUUACCUAGCCGGUUGGAGGCCAACCUCUUACUAGGGACAGCAAUGGCCCUGUCCGGCCACUGUUUCGUGGCUGGUAUUAUUACCCCUAUGCAGUGAAUAUGACAUGUGGAUCUAUGUGUAUAUUAUGUCGUCAAAAGAACAUUAUAUGAACCGUUGAUCCACCUUUGAUUCUAUUAAUGUGUCAUGGUCAAUUGAUGUCAAACUCUAUUAUCUUCAAGUCUUAUUGUAUUGAUAAAAUCACGAUGCUGCUACUGCCAUUUUGAUGUUUAUAAAAGGGUAUUGAGAACCUGGUGGGUAUCCAUUGGAUGCGCAGGGUUGAUGGUGGGGAAAAAUGAGUGUAAAGGACAGGGAUGCAGUAUUUAGAAAGAUGGGGCUGCCACAGAAAAUAGUCUCCAAGUAUGGCAGGGAAGAAUCUAAAACUGAAUCCUUGAUCAAGACUGUCCCAUAUUCAUAAAUAGUUCACUGACAGAUCUUGCUUCCAUAUUCUGAACAGCUGAUGCUGGGCACAUAGGAGGUUAACCGGUCAGCGGAUCAAAGAAAAUCCACAAUGGCCUCAUCUUGGGUUAGAGACAAUCAUCGGUAAAGAAUCAUAUUGCCGGAUAAGGAUAUCUGUGAUUGGUGGGUGCAGAUCCAUGCUCAUUCAAGAAACACAUGAUUCUUUACGGAUGAUCAUCUCUCAGCACACCCUGCUGAUAAGGUUAUCUGAGAUUGGUGGGUGCAGAUCCUAGAAACAAGCUAGGGCUGAAUGCGCCGCUGUACUUGGAUGUUGUGGUGACACCGUAAUGAUUGUGUGUUUAACGGAGUUUCCCAUAGUGACUAGCGUGCAGGCCGUCCUCGUAUUUGAGAAAAAAAUCAAUGGGCGAAAUGUUUUCACCCAGGUAAUUGUUGCAUUGUAUGAAUAGGCUUAGAUACCUGGUUACUGUGACACAAGAAGAUUUAUCAUAUCUAUCUAUGAAUUAGUGUUAAAUCUCCUACAUAAAUAUCUUCUCUUAUCUCACUUUAUGUAUAUAUAUGACACAGAAGCACAUGUAUAUCGGCAUUGUAGAGAUAGAGAUGAGAGAGAAGCUUAUCUGCUUUUUGGAGAUAAAUAUUCAAAUUACUAGUGUAUGAGAGGGAUAGAAUUAUUCUAUCAUAUUGUUUAUUCAACAUCUAAAAAGAUUCCAUGUUUAGUCAUCUAUAUCGGCGUUGUAGAGAGAGAGACUAGUGUUCAUCUGGUUGGAAGGAUGAGAGAGAGAGGAGAGAGUUUGGAUGAGAUAGAGAGAUAGUGUUCAGCUGGUUGGAAGGAUGAGAGAGAGAGAGAGGAGAGUUUGGAUGAUAGAGAGAUUAGUGUUCACUUGGUUGGAAGGAUGAGAGGGAGAUGAGAGAGUUCGGAUGAGGAGGUAGAGAGUUCGGAAGAGAGAGAGAGGUGAGAGUUCGGAUGAGAGGUGUGAGAGAGGUGAGAGUUCGGAUGAGAGAUAAAGUAGCUUAUAAGGAUGAGAGAGAGAAAGCGGUAUUCAGCUGGAUGGUGGAGACUUCAUAUAUUACUAAUAAUGCAUCCAAACAACAUUUAAAAUUUAAUUCUAAGAAAAACUUUCUCGGUAAAUCAAAACAAGAAAAUUCAAUUGAAUCAAAUUCUACGGAAUCCAUUUCCUAUGAAAUCUAAUUGCUAGAAUAUGAUUCAUGGAAUGAGUUCCAAUUCUAGAGAUCCAAACGGGCCCUAAGAGAAUUGUAGUGAUCAACUCCCAAGUUGCAAUAUAUCCUAGGAAAUAGGUGGUUAUGAGGAUGAUACCUGCAGACAAUACUUUUAAUCCCUCAAUUCUUACAGAGAAUUGCACUAUCAACUGCAUUUUCAUUUGUGCCACGCUGCUCAGCUAUAAAAAACGGGGCAAAUCGACCAAAAUAAAUGAAUAAACCACAUGGUUUAGACUGGUGGCAUAUGUAUGUCUGAUGAGUUUAGAAUCCCAACAGACCUCUGUUUGCUUAUCCAACAGGAGGGAAAAAGUUUACUUACUAAAUCAGCUUUGCAUGUCAGGCUGCAAUUGUUAGAGAGUAGAAUUGGGUAAUUUGUGAACAUAAUUGAAUCAAAGUUUUGUCUCAGACUAGUAAUAGAAAAUGGUGAUGCUCCAUAGCUAGAACAACACGUUCCUACACUAGUUUAAAAAAUCCCCUGAAAUUGGGAACAAUGGUCAAGCCCAAACCAUACUUGGAACUUGGAAGGCCGCUGGCGGAUGUCAAAGUCAAAAACAGAAGCAGACAGCGACGUCUCACCAGAUCACGAAUCAGAUGCGAUGCAUAUACAUGUUGCAGGCAUUAGCACGCAUCCCUUAGGAUUAAACAAUUCAGCAAGUAGCUCCCCUGCUGACCAAGAAAAGCAAGCUCUGUCUCGCAGCAAGCUCUUCAAUACGCUCCAGCCCAGCUCUACCAUGGCAUUGGCAAUGCGCGUCAUGAGCUUGCUUCCUGCCACCAUCGCCGUGAUGAUCGCAGCGGCCUCCUGGGGAGCGCACGGCGGUGCCAGCGACGAGGCCAGCGCGCUGCUUGCUUUCAAGGCUGAGCUCGCCGGCAGCGGCUCCGGCAUGCUUGCAUCCUGGAAUGGCACCGCUGGCGUCUGCAGCUGGGAGGGCGUGGCGUGCACCAGCGGCCAGGUGGUGGCACUGAGCCUGCCCUCUUAUGGGUUCGCCGGAGCCCUCUCCCCGGCCAUUGGGAACCUCACUUUCCUGCGGACCCUGAACCUGAGUUCCAACUGGUUCCAGGGGGAGGUCCCAGCAAGCAUCGGCCGCCUAGCGCGUCUGCAGACGCUUGAUCUGAGCUACAAUGCGUUCUCUGGUACGCUUCCUUCCAACCUCAGUUCCUGUGUCAGCUUACUGCUGUUAGAUCUCAGCAGUAACCGGUUCCAUGGGCGUAUCCCUGUUGAGCUUGGAGACAAGCUAACAAGUCUUCAGAAGUUCUCACUGGGCAACAACAGCUUGACGGGUGCCAUGCCAGGAUUACUAGGUAACCUGUCAUCCCUGAACUACCUUGAUCUGAGAAAAAACCACCUCGAGGGUCCGAUCCCACAUGAACUCGGCAGCAUGGGCGGCCUGCAGGUCCUUUUACUCCAUGACAACAGACUCUCCGGUGUGCUUCCACACUCCCUGUACAAUCUGUCCUCACUGAAAAAGUUGGGGGUAGGAGACAACAUGCUGUCUGGAACCAUCCCUGCUGAUAUCGGCGAUAGGUUCCCCGGUAUGGAAGCUCUUGACUUUUCUAGCAACCGAUUCAGUGGAGCUAUCCCACCUUCGCUCGGCAACCUCUCUGCUCUCACAAAACUAGUCCUUCAAGAAAAUGGUUUUAUUGGAUAUGUGCCUUCUGCUUUGGGAAAGUUGCAAAGUCUUACUGCCCUUUUCUUGGGUGUUAACAGGCUAGGAGCAAACGACAGUCAAGGGUGGGAAUUCAUCACUUCACUGGCAAACAGCUCCCAGCUUCAGGUUCUUGUUCUCGGCAACAACUCUUUCAGCGGGCAACUGCCUAAUUCAGUCACAAACCUGUCAUCAACUCUGCAAGGUCUUUAUUUGGGAGACAAUAUGAUUUCUGGGAAUAUUCCAAUAAACAUCGGAAAUUUGGUUGGUCUUACAGUAUUUGUGAUGGGAAAUACUUCUGUAUCUGGACAGAUUCCAGAGAGCAUUGGUCAGCUAAGAAACUUGGGUGUGUUAGGCCUUUACAACACUAGCUUGUCAGGCCUCAUACCUUCGUCACUAGGAAAUCUUACACAGUUGAAUAGGCUUUAUGCAUACUAUGGAAACUUAGAGGGGCCAAUUCCAUCAAACUUGGGGAACUUAAAGAAUGUGUUUGUCUUUGAUCUCUCAACAAAUCGACUCAAUGGUUCAAUUCCUAUAGAGGUUUUAAAACUUCCUCAACUUUCCUGGUACUUAGACUUAUCAUAUAAUUCAUUAUCCGGGCCACUUCCAAUUGAGGUUGGUACCAUGGUGAAUCUUAACGAACUGAUUCUGUCUGGAAACAAGUUGUCAGGCACCAUACCAGCUAGUGUUGGGAACUGUAUAUCGUUGGUACGGCUGCUGCUCGAUAACAACUUAUUAGAAGGAAGCAUACCUCAAUCUCUGAAGAAUAUAAAAGGUCUUGCAUUACUGAACCUAACAAUGAAUAAGCUAUCUGGUAGUAUUCCUGAUGCCCUUGCUAGCAUUGGCCACCUGCAACAACUGUAUCUUGCACACAACAACUUGUCAGGUUCCAUCCCCAAAGUUCUACAGAAUUUGACAUUGUUGGCAAAACUGGAUUUGUCCUUCAAUGAUCUGCAAGGCGAAGUGCCAAAAGGGGGUCCUUUUGCAAAUGCAACUCACUUGUCAAUUGAUGGAAAUGAUGAGCUUUGUGGCGGAAACCCUCAACUUCAUUUAGCUCCGUGCUCCACAGCAGCUGCGGAGAAGAACAGAAGGCGAAUGUCAAGGUCACUUAUGGUCACCGUAGCGUCAAUCUGCGCACUUCUAUUCUUAGGUUUAGUAGUUUGUCUUAUCCAUUUGAUCCACAAGAGGCUCAGACAAGGAAAGGAAAAUCAACUCAUUCCCACAGUAAUUGAUGAACAGCACGAAAGGGUUUCAUAUCAAGCAUUAGCAAAUGGGACUGACCAUUUUUCGCAGGUUAAUCUGCUCGGACAAGGAAGCUAUGGUGCAGUUUAUAAGUGCACUUUACAAGACAAGGGAAUUACCGCAGCUGUAAAGGUAUUCAACGUGUGGCAAUCUGGGUCUACUAGAAGUUUUGUGGCUGAAUGUGAGGCACUGCGAAGGGUGCGCCACCGAUGUCUCAUAAAGAUCAUCACCUGUUGCUUAAGCAUUGAUCACCAAGGCCAAGAAUUCAAGGCACUGGUUUUUGAGUUCAUGCCCAAUGGUAACCUAAAUGGUUGGCUGCAUCGAGCAUCCAAAAUACAGAGUCUGAGCAAUACGCUCAGCUUAGCUCAGAGACUGGACAUUGCGGUAGAUAUCAUGGAUGCUUUGGAUUAUCUUCACAAUCAGUGUCAACCGCCUAUUAUCCAUUGUGAUCUCAAACCAAGUAACAUCCUCCUUGCCGAAAGUAUGAGUGCUCGGGUUGGAGAUUUCGGCAUAUCAAAAAUCCUUCCUGAUGACACUAGCAAAACUAUGCUGAAUUCGGUUAGCUUCACUGGACUAAGAGGUUCCAUUGGAUACGUCGCUCCAGGUAACAGAAACUAACACUGAUAUUGCUAUGUUCAGUUUUUAACUUCCAUUUUGCCAAGUCCAGUUAUCUCGGCAUGAAUCGUUCGUAAGUAGCUUGCCAUGAAUCCACUGACCAAAUAGUUUCUGAAAUCUCAAUUGACUGCAGAGUACGGCGAGGGUCGCGCCGUCUCAACUCUUGGAGAUGUUUACAGCCUCGGCAUACUGUUGCUUGAGAUGUUCACCGGGAUGAGCCCUACUGACGACAUGUUCAAAGGCUCCUUGGACCUUCAUAAGUUCGCCGAGGCCGCUCUCCCCGACAGAGCCUUGAAGGUAGCCGACCCGGCAAUCUGGCUUCAUGAAGAAGCAAAGGGGGAAGACCCGGCCACGGUGAGAAGCAGAAGCGAGAGGUGCUUGGCUUCAGUGGUCGGGCUUGGCGUGUCCUGCUCAAAGCAGCUGCCAAGGGAGCGGACGGCGAUGCGGGAUGCUGCCGCUGAGAUGCGUGCGAUCAGAGAUGCCUUCCUGGUUCAAUGUGCAACAGAGACUUGGCCUGCAGUCGGCACCAGCGGCCUUGGAAGCACAGACACUUGAAUGGUGGACGGAGCUACGGUCUCUUGACGCACCAAGGAGCCACCGGACUAGCUGCUCUGCAACUAACAGGGUGGAGAAAGCGCCCCUUAAUGAAAAGAAAAACAGCCGGUGCAAGGCUUUAUACGGAGGGGUGUUUGGAUCCCCGGACUAAAUUUUAGUUCCUGUCACAUUGUCCAUCGAAUAUUUCGAUACUAAUUAGGUCUAUUAAACAUAGACUAUUUACAAAAUCCAUUACAUAGAUGGAGGUUAAACGGCGAGACGAAUCUAUUAAGCCUAAUUAGUCCAUGAUUUGACAAUGUGCUGCUACAGUAACCAUUUGCUAACGAUGGAUUAAUUAGGCUUAAUAAAUUCGUCUCACCGUUUAGCCUCCAUCUGUGUAAUUAGUUUUAUAAUUAACUCAUAUUUAAUCCUCCUAAUUAGUCUUCGAAUAUUCGAUGUGACACGGACUAAACUUUAGCUCCAGGAUCCAAACAUCCCCAAAGAAUGUGACAGCCACUGCGUGUAUCCGAGAGCCUUAUCUAAUCUACCAAUGAUUGUUGUGUAUGGAUGCAUAUAGAUUAUGCACGAACUCCCUCCGUCCCAAAAAAAUGUACUACUAUUUAUAAUGUAUAAUAAGUAUCAUUAGAUUGAGUAUUGAGUAUACUUUCCUAAUACAUUUAUUUGAAGAUACAAAUGUUGAUACUAUUUUCUAUAUUCUUAGUCAAAUUUAAAAACGUUGACUCCUCGAAAAGUGAGAUGUGUGUUUAUUUUGGGACGGAGGGAGUACCCGGGGAUUAGUCACGAUACAAGUAGGGAUUAGCAAGCACCAAAACCUCAUUCAUUGCCCUUCGAUCGCUCAAAUAAAAGCAACCAUUGCAUAUGGUGGCGAUGCGCUUGCGGGCCUUUCUCCAACCUUCAUUCUCCAACCUCUCUGCUCUCGCGGGCCUUGAACUCGCAUGGAACAGUUUUAGUGGAAACGUACCCCAACUUUGAAGAGAUUGCAAAGCCUCAUUUUACCUAUCCUUAAGUGGCAAUAAGCUAGGAUCGAAUGAUAAGGACGGAUUGGAAUUCAUCACCAUGCUGGCAAACUGCAGCCAGCUCCAGCAACUGGCUUUUGACAAUAGUUCAUUCAUCGGGGAACUUCCUACUCAAUUGCAAAUCUAUCGACAACACUCCAAUUGCUCUGUAUAGGAAACAAUUGGAUUUCGGGAUUUAUUCCAUCCAGCAUCGGUAAUUUGGUUGGUCUAGAACUGCUUACGUUGGCAAAUACUUUCAUAUCCGUGAAGGAUCGAAACUGGCGACCAGAGGGGGGUGAAUGGGAGCCUCACAAAAAUUCGCGGAAGCAAUUUGAGUAAAAUUAGAAUAAAAUUUAUUUGCAAUUUCCAACACAGAUAAAAAGACAGGGGUAAGCAAAAAGCUAAAUCACGUGAUAAAGACCCACUAAACAAAAUAUUAAACAAAAGAGCAUAUGGUUGCAAAAAGGUUGUUUACUGUUCAUAGAAAGUGACCUCACCUUCCCUGGUGCAUGCGUGAGUGAUGUUUCUAGAAACAAUAUUAAUGUGUAAUAUUGAAAGUGCUAAUGAGAAGGAAAUUUGCAAAGCAGAGACACGACCUGCAAGUCACCUGCAGGCACAUGCGUGCGCUGUUCGGAAGCAGAACGCUGUUCCUGGCCGGUCACCUCCCUUGUACGGGGCACACACAGUAAAAUCCAGAGACGUGCGCUUCAGUAGAGCAGGCAGCGUACGAACUAAUCAUACGAGCUCAUCGGCGGCUGGCCCUGGUGCGACGCUGCGAGCCGUGGCUGACCGCCAGGAGCAGACCUUGUCCUCCCGCAACGAUGUGUCCCUGAACAGCAAAACGGGAACAACCAAACCGGCGGCGCAAACAACGAAAACAAAGGGAACGGAGGAAAAUCGGAUCUCGCACGAACAAAGAACAAAUCACAAGGACGAAUGAUUAAAGUGUAAUUAUUCUACAAAAGUGCAUCUAGCCUCCGCCCGAUCGUCCUCCCUCUCUUCAUUGGAGAGAUCAACAAAAAUCCCUCGCUAGUAUUGAAACCCUAGGCUAGACAAAAAGCGAGAAAGCAAGAGAACCCUCUCAACCCUAGGUGCCACAUAUUUAUAUCCUUAGGGUGGCACGACCUAUUUACACAUAACCCCCUACGCUAAAUAAAUCUAACGUAGGGGCGUAAAUUCCAAUUACGUCCUCCAUGGUAAAUUCCGCGAUGUCCGCAAUCCCUCCAUCUCUACGACGUGAUCUUCGCGAUGUCGCCGCACGACCAUCCGAAAUCGUAUCGCGAUCGUCGGAAUUUCCAUCUUGGGCCAACGCCUGUCGCACGGGCGUCCCGAUACGAUGCAUGGCUUUGUGGCUCAACCAGCGAACCCCGGAUUUUGUGGCAUAAUCCGGAAACCUCCCUCGACGUCCUCCCGCCGUGUAGCCAGGUACAGUAGAUGUAUACCGCACGAUCGCCUGUCCCUCGAACGCAAGCCUCGAUCCGCCCUUCUCCGCCCCCGCGGUUUUUCAACGUGGCAUCCUAUCUUCGUUCUUCACUCGUCGCCGCAUGUACCUUGUCUCCACCUGUCACCUGCAACCACAACCUACCAAGAGACACGUCACACGCACACCGUGUUAUCAAUCGCUCAUCACCAAGGUGCUAGCCCACCGGCAUCUCAAUCUCCCCCUUGAUGAGUGCAUUGACAACACCACACCGCACAAAUUUAUUCGUACGGAAAAAGAAAAAUAAAAAGAAAGAAAAAGAAACGAUCUUAAUCCCCAAAGACAUGGGCUAGCGAAAAAGCUAGGCUCGACACAAUAAAGACAGAAAUUCACUCUCCCCAAAGUGAAUCAAAAGCCAUAUCAAUCUCCCAAAAGCAAUCUCAGCAGCAAAACUCACAAAUUUCAGCAAAACUCCCCCUACAAGAAUGAACGAACUUCCCCAGCAAGAAUGAAGUUGUGCGCUACUCACUCUCCCCCUUGUUGACAAAGCACUCCAUCAAGAUAAAAGGCAAGGAACCAAUUUAGAGAAAAGCAUGUGAGAAAGCACAAGUUGAAGCUUCUGAGACAUAUGCCAAAUACUUAUAAAAGAACAACACUAGCUAUCCAGAGAAGGAACAAUACAAUGCCAUGACCAAUAAAAAUUUAGAACUGAAAUCUGUUUGAAAACUAAUGUGCCAGGCAAAAACGUGCACAUUCCAAACUCAGUGCAAAGCUGAAGACAAAACAUAUAGCAAGCUCACACGACAGAUACACAGCUUCAGUCCAAGUUCACUGCAACGCCCACAAAUGCAUUCACUUGUCAUAUUUAAUUCUAACUUUUGUGAGCAUGAUAAGCAGGGACAUGGGAAGCAAGAGUUGUGCCCAGCCAGUUUGUUUAAUUUUGUUUAUGAGCGAGAACCAGCAGGGACAUGGGAAAAACAGAGUUGCACCCAUAUUUAAAUUCUGAGUAAGGCAAGCAGAUCAUGAGCUAAAUAGCAGAGAUAUGGGAAUUCAGAGUUUUUGCUCACAACCAUACUAUGUACUCCCGAGUUAAAACUUGUAUUGUGAGUUACAUUUGCAGUGAAAACCCAUUAAAAGAAGCUGACUACCGAACCAUGAGCAAGAUAUAUGUCAAGUAUUCAACAAGUCACUAGAUCCAGAAAAGCAAACAUAGCCCAACAUAAUUUUUUAAGUAUAUAUCUGUGCUUUUUUUAAAAUAAAAAUUGGUCAAGCAAAGCAUUCAAACCUCUCCAAAAGCAUCGAUUGCAAACUAGCCAAAACAAGUAUAAAGCAUAUGUAACUGAAGCAACUUACAAUGAUACUAGAAUGGGUAACACACCCCGAACUCACCACGCAGACGUGCAAACGUGGUUUGAUCUAGUGGCUUAGUCAAAAUAUCAGCAAGUUGCUGACUAGUAUCAAUAUGCUUAAGAUCAAUAUCACCCUUUUCAAAAUGAUCCCUCAGAAAAUGAUGACGAACCUCAAUGUGUUUCGUCUUAGAGUGAAGCACAGGAUUCUUUGCAACACUUAUAGCGCUAGUGCUGUCACACAAGAGAGGAACGCGAGAAAACGACAAACCAAAAUCGCGAAGGGUAGCUAUCAUCCAUAAAAGCUGAGAACAACAACUAGCAGCAGCAACAUACUCAGCCUCUGUAGUAGAUUGAGCAACAUUAGAUUGUUUUCUAGAGGACCAAGAAACAAGCGAAGAACCCAAAAAUUGGCAAGUACCCGAUGUAGACUUUCUAUCCAAACGACACCCAGCAAAAUCAGCAUCCGAAUAACCACACAAACUGAGAGUCGAAGCAGCAGAGUACCAAAGGCCAAAUGCAGGAGUAAAUCGGAGAUACCUCAUUAUGCGCUUCACCGCCUGACGGUGAGAAGUCCUGGGGGACGCCUGAAAACGAGCACACAUACACACAGCAAAGUGUAUAUCUGGCCUCGUAGCAGUCAAGUACAGCAGCGACCCAAUCAUGCUUCGAUAUUCCUUCUGAUCUACAGGCUCUCCGUCCUCAUCAGCAUCCAAAGCUACGCUAGUCGGCAUGGGCGUAGAAAUUGGCUUCGCAUCAUCCAUCGCAAACUUCUUCAGGACAUCCUUCGUGUACUUUCCCUGAUGCACAAAUGUACCUUCCAAAGUUUGUUUUAUUUGUAAGCCAAGAAAGAAAUUCAGCUCGCCCAUCAUAGACAUCUCAAAUUCUUUGCUCAUCACAUCUACAAACUUUUUCACAAGAGCAUGAGAGGAACCACCGAAAAUGAUAUCAUCCACAUAAAUCUGAACUAUUAAAGUGUCAUUUCCUUGCCUGAGGAGAAAAAGAGUUUUAUCAACUGAACCCAUUUUGAACCCAUUUUUAAGCAAAAAAGUUUUCAAUCUAGCAUACCAAGCGCGAGGUGCUUGCUUCAAACCAUAUAAAGCCUUUUGCAACUGAAGAACACGAUCAGGAAAAUUGGGAUGUUCAAAACCAGGUGGUUGUUUAACAUAAACUUCUUCUUCUAUAAAACCGUUCAGAAAAGCACUUUUCACGUCCAUUUGAUAAAGCUUAUAACCACGUGAAGCAGCAAAUGCAAGCAAAAUACGAAUGGCUUCUAAACGAGCAACAGGAGCAAAAGUUUCACCAUAAUCAAUACCCUCUUUCUGAGAAAAGCCCUGAGCAACCAGCCUAGCUUUAUUUCUAACAACAUAACCAUCUUCCCCUUGUUUGUUCUUAAAGACCCAUUUAGUCCCAAUUGGUUUACAAGAGGGAGGAGGAUCAACCAAAACCCAAACCUGAUUCCGUUCAAAAUUUUCUAACUCCUCAUGCAUGGCAUUGACCCAGUUAGAAUCAGAUAAAGCAUGUCCAACAUCUCAGGGUUCAAAAAAGGCAACAAAAGCAGUAUGCGCAAAGACACAAUAAUUUUUAUUUUUCAUACCUUUGUUCCUUGUCGUGCGCUCAUCCAAAUUACCUAUUAUGUUCCUUGCAGGAUGACGAUUCUGAAUGUGUUGUGGUGCUGUACGUUCUGAAAUCGCCUCCCCCUCAACUGCAGCCGGCACCUGAUCAACAGUCGGUGAAGCUGCAGGCGCUGCUGUAGAUGUACGUGUCGACGACGGUCCAUCCUCCAAAGUGGUGGAGGGCGCCUGCUCAGACUGGGCGCCAGGCUCCCCCUGCAUCGCAGGCUGGGCGUCAUCGUCGUCGUCGUCGUUGCAUCCAUCUUCCUCUUUCUCAUCCUCAAAAAUAUCCUGCCCGAUCUCAUCAUCACCUGCACACUCAGAAGCAGAAGAAAAACAAGGCAUUGUCUCGUUGAAGGUGACCUCACAUGUCUCCUCGAUGCGGUUAGUAUCAAGAUUAAGCACACGGUAUGCUCGCCCUUGCAAGGCAUACCCCAAAAAUAACCCAUCAGAAGAACGCGAUUCAAAUUUAUCCAAAUUUCCCUUUUUCAAUAUAAAACACUUGCAGCCAAAGACUCGAAAGUGGAAAACUUUGGGAGGUCGACCAAAUCUCAACUCAUAAGAUGUUUUUCCCAGAAAAGCUCUCAGAAAAAUGCGAUUAGCAACAUAGCAAGCGGUGUUGAUCGCCUCAGCCCAAAAACGUCUAGGAGUUUUAUGUUCAUCAAGCAUUGUCCUAGCCAUCUCAACAAGCGUACGAUUUUUACGCUCAACAACACCAUUCUGGGGAGGAACGUAAGGUGAGGAAAACUGGUGAUCUAAACCUUGUUCUGAACAAAAAGCUUUCAUACGAGAAUUCUUGAAUUCCAUACCGUUGUCACUGCGAAUUGCUCUAACGGCAUUAUUUGACAACUCGUUUUUCAGCUUCAGAACAAGAUCAUGAACAUGUGAAAAAGCCUCAUCCUUAGAUUCCAAAAAGAACACCCAUGAAUAUCGAGAAAAAUCGUCCACAACGACGAGCACAUACCACUUCCCACCAGCGGACCGAACACGGGCUGGACCAACUGUGUCCAUAUGUAACAGCUCACCCGGUCGUCUUGUCAUCACCUGAGUCAUAGGUGCAUGAGAAGCAGCAACCAUUUUUCCAUGUUUGCAGGGAGCACAAACCAAAUCCUUCUCAAAUUUGAGUUUCGGUAAACCAGCAAUUAAAUUCAUGGAACUCAAGCGGCAAAGCAAAUCAAAGCUCAGGUGGCCCAAGCGACGAUGCCACUUUCAAAUAUCAGGGGAACCAUGAGCAACCAAACAACGAGUCUGUCCAAAAGAUUUAGAAAAAUCAACCUUAAAAACUCGUCCAAAGGGAGAAAUCUUGCAAACAAGGUCACCAGCAGAAUCAAGAACUCGCGAAUUGCCUUUCUUAAAACGCACUUCAAAAUCAUCUUCAAGGAGUUGCGAGACAGAAAGCAGAUUAUAAUGCAAAUUUUGUACCUUCGCGACAUCCUUUAGCAUGAAUUUUUCAGAUACAUUGAUGCAGCCAUGCGCCAAAACCUUACCUUUACUAUUAUCCCCGAAUGUAAUAUGUUCCUUACCACUCGCGGGGGUGAGGCUGGAGAACCAUCUGUCAUCUCCGGUCAUGUGGCGCGAACAACCGGAAUCCAUUAUCCAUAUGUUCUCCUCGCCUCCAUCCUGCAGUCAACAAUGAGCAUAAGAGUGAGCUAAUGACUCAACACUGGGGUUAGGAUAAUGCAGAGAAAACCAGUGCUGGGCCACUUGCUCAAAAGAGGCAUUAGCAAAAUCAAAACUCUCGAAAGAUUGACGAGAACCACGAGGGGGAAAAUGUAGCCUAUCAUUCCAGUGUGGUGCAGGAGCACGAGUAUAGCCUGUCAUUCCAGUGUGGUGCAGGAGCACGAGUAUGCGAGCGAAAACCAAAAGAACGACCAGCAAGCUUACGACCCAAAACAGGACGAUCAUGAGUACCACGUGCAGGGUACUGCUCACGUCUCUCAGCACGCUUCCGACGGAAGCAAAACUCAUAGAGAUGACCAUCAUGAUCACAAAAUUCACAAUGGUAAUGCUUAUGUGAAGGAGCAAAAGAAACCUUAGCCUUAGAACCAGAAGCAACAAAUUUAGGCUUAGGCAUAGCAGCAUGAACACAUGGAGAAUCAGAUGGCUUAACAUUCUGUGCAACAUUGAAGUGUUUAGGUUUAGGCACCCAAACCUGCUUUUUAGGAACCGAUCUGGAUGGUUCAACUAACAACCCCUCAGAUGUGACACCUGGACCCUCUUUCCUAGGAGGUGGUCCAGUUACUUAGCCAAAGGUGGAUUAAUUUCAUCCACAGGAGGUCCACUCUUUUCACCAAAAACAUGUUUCAAAUCGUAUCCAGGUCCAAAACGCUCAUCCCGUUUAAUUUGAGCAAUAGACAUACCUAUUUGAGGUUCACGAAUAGAGCACCAACCAAGAAUCACUCUCAAAUGUUUAUUUUCUUCUUCCAAAGCAGAAAACUUUACCCUCAAAUCAUUAUUUUCAGCAAAAAAAAGUAGUGCAAGUCAAACAGGGAGGCAAAACAGGACAAGAAUGUUUCUCCAACUCAGUAAUACGAGAUUUAGCAAGAUUCAAUUCAGAUUGCAGGAUUGGACAAGAAACACAAGCACCAAGUAAAGCAGAACCAGAGUGAAGUUUUUCCAACUCAAACUUAGCAUUUUCAAAUUUAUCAACAAUGGAGGCAUACUUAGAUUGCAACUCAGAAAGUGAAACCAUAUGCGCAGAGCACUCUUCACAUUCUACUUCAGCAGGAGUAGCAUCUUUUAAGACUUUUAAUUCAGAAUUGACUCUAUCAUACUCAGCCUUAAGUUUUACUAAAAUUUUAUUUUGUUUAUCAACAAUUUUUGUCAAUUCUUUAAUUUCUUCUUCUGCUGAAUUUUGUACCUCAUUGUCAGAAGAGUUGUCGCUGCGAUCAGAAGCCACAUCGUCAUCCAAGGCCAUGGUGCACAUCCCUCCCUUGAUGUCGGCGAGGAAGCAGAGUCCGUCAGUUUUCUUUUUGGGCAGCUCAUCCUCGGAGUCUGAAUCACUCGAGUUCGAAGAGGCAUCUGAAACAAAAUCACCAAGAGAAGAAAACAAAACAUGUGUAGCCUUUUUUAUUUGUUUAUCAGUGUACUUCUGGCCAUUCUUCUUCAUGCGCCUGUCACCCUUCUUUUUCUUCUUCUCCCUUGAUUGUUCCUGGCGCCUGGAGUUGUUGCCCUGCUCAAAUGUUCUCAUCUUGUUCGGGCAAUCAGCAGCAAAGUGGCCUUGCUCACCACAGCUGAAACAUCCUUCUGAGCGUCUUCUGUUGCGUCGGUUCUCAUAGACUCUCUUGAAUUUGUUGGAGAGCAGCACCAACUGAUCAUCAUCUAGCGCCUCCAACUCAUCAUCUGCAACAUGACAUAAAGAUGACAAAGCAAAGCUGGGAGAAACUGGAUUAGUGUUAAUGUUAGUCUUACUCCCAGAAACCAAAGCCAUAGGAACAUCAGAAGAAGAAACACCAGUGGGAUUUUUCAAUUUGCGCUUGGAGAGGACAUCAAUCUCUUUUGAUUUGAGCUUAUUGAAAAGCUCAUCAGUGGUAAGAGUCUCAUAGCCAGCGGACUCAACGAUCGCCUCUACUUUCAUAUCCCACUCAUCAAUAAGUGAAUGCAACAAUCUGAGAGCCCUUACAAGGUCAUCAUAAGGCAUAUCCUUAUUAAGGGCUCUCAUUUUGUUUACAAUCACUUGAAACCUUGCAAAAAGAUCUUUAAUGGAUUCACCAGGCAAUUGAGAAAAAGCAUCAAACUCUUUUCUGUGAAUUUCGAAUUUUCGUGUUUUCACAGCGUUGGAGCCUUCAUGAUAUUUCUUUAACUUAUCCCAAAUCUGAAAGGCUAGCUCCUCACUGGAAAUACGAUCAUACUCAGGUUUACAAAGAGAAGCUUGCAAAAUAUCAACUACCCGGUUAUUUGCCUCAAGAAGAGCAACAGCAGCAGGAUCAGUAGGGUCCUCUACAGGAAUCACAUAUGUAGAGUUUUGUAUGAUCCUCCACAGAUUCAUCCCCUUCCCCUUUAAAUAAGCUUUCAUACGCGACUGCCAAUAGUCAUAAUCAGUACCAUCAAAAUGCGGAGCGCGUGUAUUGUAUUUUUCGGCGGUCGCCAUGGUUUUCGUAACCGAUUAAGAUAUAGAAAACCUUAACCUGGCUCUGGUACCAAUUGAAGGACUGAAACUAGCGACCAGAGGGGGGGUGAAUGGGAGCCUCACAAAAAUUCGCGGAAGCAAUUUGAGUAAAAUCAGAAUAAAAUUUAUUUGCAAUUUCCAACACAGAUAAAAAGACAGGGGUAAGCAAAAAGCUAAAUCACGUGAUAAAGACCCACUAAACAAAAUAUUAAACAAAAGAGCACAUGGUUGCAAAAAGGUUGUUUACUGUUCCUAGAAAGUGACCUCACCUUCCCUGGUGCAUGCGUGAGUGAUGUUUCUAGAAACAAUAUUAAUGUGUAAUAUUGAAAGUGCUAAUGAGAAGGAAAUUUGCAAAGCAGAGACACGACCUGCAAGUCACCUGCAGGCACAUGCGUGCGCUGUUCGGAAGCAGAACGCUGUUCCUGGCCGGUCACCUCCCUUGUACGGGGCACACACAGUAAAAUCCAGAGACGUGCGCUUCAGUAGAGCAGGCAGCGUACGAACUAAUCGUACGAGCUCAUCGGCGGCUGGCCCUGGUGCGACGCUGCGAGCCGUGGCUGACCGCCAGGAGCAGACCUUGUCCUCCCGCAACGAUGUGUCCCUGAACAGCAAAACGGGAACAACCAAACCGGCGGCGCAAACAACGAAAACAAAGGGAACGGAGGAAAAUCGGAUCUCGCACGAACAAAGAACAAAUCACAAGGACGAAUGAUUAAAGUGUAAUUAUUCUACAAAAGUGCAUCUAGCCUCCGCCCGAUCGUCCUCCCUCUCUUCAUUGGAGAGAUCAACAAAAAUCCCUCGCUAGUAUUGAAUCCCUAGGCUAGACAAAAAGCGAGAAAGCAAGAGAACCCUCUCAACCCUAGGUGCCACAUAUUUAUAUCCUUAGGGUGGCACGACCUAUUUACACAUAACCCCCUACGCUAAAUAAAUCUAACGUAGGGGCGUAAAUUCCAAUUACGUCCUCCAUGGUAAAUUCCGCGAUGUCCGCAAUCCCUCCAUCUCUACGACGUGAUCUUCGCGAUGUCGCCGCACGACCAUCCGAAAUCGUAUCGCGAUCGUCGGAAUUUCCAUCUUGGGCCAACGCCUGUCGCACGGGCGUCCCGAUACGAUGCAUGGCUUUGUGGCUCAACCAGCGAACCCCGGAUUUUGUGGCAUAAUCCGGAAACCUCCCUCGACGUCCUCCCGCCGUGUAGCCAGGUACAGUAGAUGUACACCGCACGAUCGCCUGUCCCUCGAACGCAAGCCUCGAUCCGCCCUUCUCCGCCCCCGCGGUUUUUCAACGUGGUAUCCUAUCUUCGUUCUUCACUCGUCGCCGCAUGUACCUUGUCUCCACCUGUCACCUGCAACCACAACCUACCAAGAGACACGUCACACGCACACCGUGUUAUCAAUCGCUCAUCACCAAGGUGCUAGCCCACCGGCAUCUCAAUCUCCCCCUUGAUGAUUCCAGAUAGCAUUGGUCGCCUAAAAGACACGUCCGUGUUAGGCGUUUACUACACUAGCUUGUCAGGCAUCAUACCUUGAUCACAAGGAAAUCUUACACAGUUGAAAGCUCUCUGUGCGUACGAUAUAGCAACUUGGAGGGUUCAAUUCCAGCAAGCUUGGGGAACUUAAAGAAUCUUUUUAUCCUCGAUCUCGGUUUCAGGUCGAAGCAGAGCAUAAACCUUUCUCAAGACUACGAAGUUACCAUAGAGCAGAUCAGUAUGAGGGCCAGGCUAUACCCUAUCAACACCUCCCCUCUUGCCCUUUCGGUAAGAUUACCUCAAACUAUAGUCUUUAAUUAAUUAGCCAAGACCAGAGCCAUAUAGUUCCAAGUUUAAUCAUUGAGUUUAUUAAAACCAUCAUAACCCAAGGUAUUGCAACUAAGCAUAUCUACCCAACAAACAGGUAAAACCCAGGUUGACAAGGAAUGAUCAUAAAGAUUAGGUAAACCUUAAUAGGACCCAUCAAUAUUAGAUGCAGAGCAAUGCAAAAGUGAUUAAAUAUAGUUAUUGAGAUAAAAGCACAAGGACACACUUGCCUUUCUCCAAAGAAUAGCUGCUCAGAUUAUCUUCAGCUCUUGUUCCUUAAAGCUCUCGAACAACGUUCCUUCUACUUGCAUCAAUCAUCGGCACAAGCAUACAAAGCAAACAACAAUCAUAACUAAGAACAAUACAUCAAUCAUAGUAAAUCUUUAAAAGAGCGUACUAAAGGAUAAGGCUCGAAUCUAAGGUCAUGCUAACACAAGAAACGCUGGGAACGAAACUAUGGUUGAAAAGACAAAGCUAUCGAGAGAUUUGAAUUAUAAAAGAAAGAGAAGCCUAUGUGCUUCAUAUAUUUUAAUAAAGAAAAGAAUGUAAAUAUAUUUUAGAGAAACAUCCUUAGAAGGUUAUAUUUAUAUAUGAAAAGAUGAUGUAGAACUUAGUCAAAUUUUAUUUAUAAAUAUUCAAGUAAACAUUUAAUUUGAAAAUAAAGUAUAUGUAAACAUCAAGGCGCAUAGCUUUAUGAUUCAGGUUGAACUAACCAAAUAUAAUUCAAAAACAUAUUUAUAUUUAUAUUAGUCAAAUUAACAUAUAAUUAUGAAAACCAAAGAUGUAACUUAUGUAGCUUUUAUUUAGAAAACAAAUUGAAUAAACAUUAAUCAAUUUAAGUUUAAUUAUGAACCACCGUGGUGCAUCUCUAAUUCGCUUUUAAUUGAAAGAGUUAUUUAAAUAAGCAUUAAUAACUAAAUUAACAUUUAUUAUGAAAAGCGGUUAUAACACUAAGUAGCUUUUAAUUAAAGAAGACAUGUUUAACAUGCAUUAAUCAGAUUAAUAUUAAAUUUAUUUUAAAACAUGCAUGAUGGAAAGAUCACUACUAACAUGUAAUUUGUGUUAUCAUGAACCUAAGAAUGGAUAUAAACGGAGCUGUAACGAGGAGUCCAUGGGUUAAACAAGGUUGCAGGGCCUAAUCGCGAUUAACGAAAGGUUAUUGGGGCUAGCGAGGAAGAUUUACAAGACAUUGGAAUAGAGCUCACCAUUAGGUCAAAGCAUAGGGUUACAUCUGUUAAAGUGCGCAGGUUGGACUUGGUUGCACGGAUCCAAUAUAAUCAGGGACAUGGAUGAAAAUAAAUAAGACACAAGGAAAAACUAACUAUUUAAAGAGCUUCCAGGGGCCUAUGCACAGAAGCACCAUAGCUCAGCAUCCGGACGGGCUCCUAGACGGCAAAAUCAUCGUGUCAGAUUUAUAAGCCCAGCAAUGCACCAGGGGGUUACCCAAGUGGUUGAUUUGUAGGUGAGGGUGAUUGCGAAACCAAGAACUCAAAGGUGAUCGCGAGAACACGAAGCGACACGAAGGUUUUAGAUAGGUUCGGAUCUCCAGAGAGUAAUAUCCUACGUUCUGUAUGCUGGUGUGUAUUGCUUGAGAUUGAUCUGAUUGUUGGGAUGCCUUAUAAUGAAUCUAAUCUACUCGAUAGUUACAUAGAAAGUAAUAUGAGUUGGACAACAAUACGCGUUCCAUGAUAUUCGGGCAGAUUUGAACUGUCUUGUUGCCUUGACUUACACUCCAAGUAACUUCAUGCCCUUGGCCCGCACGCCCUGGUCGGGCGGGCCCUACUUGUCAGGUCCAUCUAGUAUCCUAGUUGAUGGGGGCUCAUGGGGUACCCAUAUCCCUCAAGCUCCCGAGCGAUGUGUAGGCGAACAGGAACUUGAGGUCAUCACAGCGAAACUUGAAAUGAAGUCGGCUGAAGCUGCGAAGGCGUCAUGGCGACGGAGAGACUGUGCAGUGCUCAAAAGAAGAAAAUUUGAGCAAACACAGAGCCAACGCAUAGAGCAAAGACGAGUGCUGAGUUGAUGGAUGCUGGCAUCUAGCAGGUCGGAGUGAAGGUUAUGGAGGGUGUCGCAAGACGCACUCCGUAGGAGUAGUCCCCAAGCAUUGAAGCGAUUAAGAUAAUCAGUACAAUGGUCAAAGAAGAAAAAAUUGUCUUCUGAAGCAGAUCCUAGUGCCUGAACACAAGGAUGGGCGCAGCCACAGAGGCCCGCCGACCAGAAGUAGGCACCCAGACCCAAGGACGAGGACUGGCAGGACCGCGGAGCCACGGCGACCUGAAAUAGGCACCCAACCCCCAAGAAUGAGGAGUAGCAGAGCUGCGGAGGCAUGCCGACCUGAAGUAGGUGCCCAGCCCCCGAGGACGAGGACUAGCGGAGCCAUGGAGGCAUACCGACUUGAAAUAGGCGCCCAGCCCCUGAGGACAAGGACUGGCAGGGCCACGGAGGCACGCCGAUAACAAUUAGGCGCCCAACCCUGAGCAUGAGUAUGAGGACUGGUGGAAGCACGUCGAGUCGCCUCCCGCCCUGAGCCGAGGCAGAGAGGUAGGCUGGGCGAUGGGAGGCACACCGAGUCAUCUGCGCCCACCAGCCGCCGAGUCUGGGAGCCGGACGAGUCACAGAAGCAUGCCAAGUCACCUCAUGCCCUGAGCCAGAGAGGUCAGCCGGGUGACGGGAGGCACGCCGUGUCGUCUGCGGUGCCCAGCACCCAAGCCUGGGAGCCGGCUGAGCCACAGAAGCACGCCAAGUCGCCUCCCGCCCUGAGCUAGAGAGGUUGGCCGGGUGAUGGGAGGCACGUCGAGUCGUCUGUGGCGCCCAAUCCCUGAACCUGGGAGCCGGACGAGCCACAGAAGCAUGCCAAGUCGCCUCCCGCCCCGAGCCAGAGAGGUUGGCCAGGUGUUGGGAGGCAUGCCGAGUAGUUUUUGAGCUGUAAAAGGACAAUACAAUCAUUAUGUAGCAUAGUGUAGAUCAUUCAAUAAUUUAACAACUCAGAAGUUUAAUUCGAUAUAGAAGUAAACUCUUGCGCAUCCUGCUAUUGUAGGUCAAGUAAUUUCCCAGGUAGUUAGCCUGUUACGUUUAAGCACCUAGCUUUGCUGACCACUGCUCACGGAGAGGACAGCUUAUCUCAGGCUAUAGCGUUGGGGCUGACCCGAUGCUCGCAUAUAGGAGACGCGCAUGAUGAGUCAAGGUUUCACGAAUUAAGGCGUGUGCUACUCGAGUACUUUAGCAACCGUUAAGAGGGACGGACAAGCCACAAAUCAGCCGGAACUCUACGGAAAAGCACCAGCAUGAGCUGGGCACCCAUGGGGUGUAGCCCUCGACCGCCCGUGUAGUGGACGGACCAAGCUGUAUAAGUAGUCGGGGUGCGAUCAAGGUGGUCGGUGAAAGUCACGGAGACAUAGGAGAGCCGAGGUGGUCGGCGAAAGUCACAGGGACAUGUAAGAGCCGAGGCAUAUGUAGGUAUACGGAAGCCGUAAAAUAUUUAAUUGUAAAUAAGACUUACCUUGAUUCAUGAUUGAGUCGGAGAACCCACAUGUCGUCUUCGCGUUUAGGCUUAGAAGCUCCUGAGCGUGGCCGGCGGACAGUUGUUGGUGAAGCAAACUAGUCGGUCUCCAUGCCCAACUAAUUUGUGUCGAGACUGAGUUGUUGGAGUUGUCAGGGACGCAUCUGUGGUUGCGAUCGUGGUAUGCUGCUGCCGAGUCGACGCGGCCGUCGGGUCGUGGUCGGCUGGCCGCCACGCUCGCAGUACAGCGUGCAUGGGUUGUGCUGCCAAACCAAGGGUGCAUGUACAUCUUUCCGAACCUCGUAAGGAAGCCCUCACGUAUUAAGGAAAUAAGAAAAAAAAUUAUUAGCUGCCGUAGUAAGCACCGAGCAACGUAGGAGAUCUACUGGAUAGAAUAGAUUAAAUAAUAAAGGGAAGGGAGAAUUGUUCCUUUUUUUUCCGUGGCAGAUCUGACGUGUCUGCAGGCAACAAGUUGGGGUCCACGUGUCGUGCUAAAUCAACCGGAGGCGUGGUGCUUGGCCUCCUGCGCCUCGCAAAUCUUCUGCAUCUGGAGCAUCCGCUCUAUGACGAGCUCGUACUGGCACUUCUCGUAGGCGUGGCACUCAGGCUCGCACUUCCAGGAGAGGUAGAACUCGGAGGUGCGCGCACUGGUCGUGGCAGGCGAGCAGCACCCGGGACUCCGCCAUCUCCACCUGCGUGAUGAUCUGGGGCUUCAAGGAGCCGAGCUGCACGCCGGCCGCUGCCGCCGCCUCCAUUUGUCACUUUCUUUCCCUCUCUCACCGGCGAGGUCAUUCUGUCGAUAGAUGGGUGCUGCGGGUUUGGUGCGGCGUGGGUAGGUGGGGUGUAGCAAGGACAUGGAGAGAGAUUGCAUACCUACUGGGCAAGCGGCAUGAUGGUCUUGGAUGGAGAACUUGCUCCAUCGGAGUAAAUCUGAUGGAUGCUGAGUUGACGACGGGCGUCGAGUCGAAGUCCACCGGCAUGCUCCCAAAGCGGAGCUGAAUUGGACUGGCGAGGAAUUCCUUCAUGCUCUUGGGGAAAACAAUGCCGGGGUGGGAUGCCAUCGAGCUCGCUGGGGAGGAUCUCAUAAUCACCUGUACCUGGCGUCCCAAUUGUCGGAUUUAUAAGCCCAGCAAUCCACCAGGGGGUUACCCAAGUGGUUGAUUUGUAGGUGAGAACGAUUGCGAAACCAAAAACUCAAAGGUGAUCGCGAGAACACAAAGGGACAUGAAGGUUUUAGACAGUUUCGGACCUCCGGAAAGUAAUACCCUACAUCCUGUAUGCUGGUUUGUAUUGUUUAAGAUUGAUCUGAUUGUUGGGAUACCCUCGGGGGUGCCCUUGGCCACUUUGUAUAGGCUAACGACCAAGAGGUGCAAGUUGGUUUGGAUCUAAUCUACUCGGUAGUUAAAUGGAAAGUAAUCUGAGUCGGACUACAAUACGCGUUCCAUGAUAUCCGGGCAGAUUUGAACUGUCUUGUUGCCUCGUCGUGCACUCCAAGUAACUUCAUAUCCUCGACCUGCACACCCUGAUCGGGCGGGUCCUACUUGUCAGGUCUGACCAGUAUGCUGGGGUACCCAUAUCCCUCACCUUGGUGCUCCGACAGUUAGGGUCGGCGGCAAGGAUGGGGAUUGGAAGCGGAGAUCGAGGGAACUUUAUGGAGAUGCUCACCGUUCCAUCCGGAAUUUGGCUAGCGGCGGAAGAACAUGGCAGCUAGCUCGGGUCUUUGCAAGUGACGGUACUUCAGUGGUGGAGCGGCAACGAAGAUUGGUGGCAGAGCUGCUCCUCGACGUCACGAAGCUCCCUGAGGCUCCAACUUGCUCCGAUAGUUGACGGGCACAGCGAAUCGGCCAGAGAAGGCCGGCGGCGGCUCUUGGCUUUGGCGGAUGUGGGGUAUGGCGGUGCUCUCGCAAGUUGGGAAGAGCGGCGGAGUGUGGCAGGGCAGCACCAGAGGCACUAUCUCGACUUUAUAGGCACGUGGGUCCACGCCUGCCUUGGCGCACACGCUGAGGUUCGGCGGUGGCGAUGCCUCAAGCUGCCGGUGGCCGAUGGGCCUAGCGGGCUUGGCUGAGCCAUCAGCUGGGCCGGGUCGGUGCGGGUUGGAUGGAGAGGUUCGGGCCCCAAAGGCUUGGCCCGAUCGAUUAGGAUUUUCCUUUUUUUCAGAAAUGAUUUCUCGUGAAUGAAAAAUCUAGAAAAAUUCUAGAUAAUUCAUUUAAACAACAAAAAAACUCUAAAAAUCCAAAAAUUCUAGGAAAAAUCCUAGAGAUAGUUUGGGGGGGGGGACAGGAGGAGUCCAAAUAAAAUACUUGGAGGGCGUGAAAAGGAUUCUAGAGCCUUUCAAAAAUUGGAUUUAGCUGUGGAAAAAAAUGAGAAUAAAUCUUAGAAAAAUAUGGAAAUUCUCAUAAGAACCUAAUUGGCAUCUAAACGUAUUUCAAAACCUUUGCACUCAUGAAAUACCAAGAUGCAUCGGCAUAAAUGCAACACAUACACAGAACCAUUGUAUUUAAUUCAGAAAACACAAUCUUUUUCCUAUACUAAAUUUCCUGUCAAGAAAAUAAAUAUUGGAAAAUUUUAAAAUUAUGAGAAAAUCAUUGUUUAAUUAUUCUUUUUAAUCACAUCCUGAAAUUUCAAAAAAUUUAGGGUCCAAAAUUCUUUUUACGGAAUUUGACAUUCAUGUCCAAAUUGGAUCUAUCCUUCAAUGAUCUGCAAAGUGAAGUGCCUAAAGGGUUUUUCUUGCAAAUGCAACUUACAUGUCGAUUUAUGGAAAUGAUCAGCUUUGUGGUCGAAUACCUCAACUUCAUUUAGCC
rnacentral:lncRNA from 1 species